rnacentral:lncRNA from 1 species
GAGGUGGUGGCGUUCACCCAUGUGAUGCAUUUGGCUGCCCAAGCUGGUGUGAGGUAUGCCAUGGAAAACCCAGGCUCAUAUGUUCAUAGUAAUAUAGCUGGUCUUGUUAAUCUUCUUGAAGUUUGUAAAAAUGCAAAUCCACAACCUGCAAUUGUUUGGGCAAGUUCUAGUUCUGUUUAUGGAUUAAAUACUAAGGUACCCUUUUCGGAAAGAGACCGGACUGACCAGCCGGCUAGUCUUUAUGCCGCCACCAAGAAAGCCGGUGAGGAAAUUGCACACACUUACAACCAUAUCUAUGGCCUUUCCCUUACCGGGUUACGGUUCUUUACUGUUUAUGGCCCGUGGGGAAGGCCUGAUAUGGCAUACUUCUUUUUCACAAGGGAUAUAUUGAAGGGUAAGACCAUUCCAAUCUUUGAGGGGGCUAAUCAUAGAACGGUUGCAAGGGAUUUUACCUACAUUGAUGAUAUUGUGAAGGGAUGCUUGGCGUCAUUAGAUACCGCCGAGAAGAGUACUGGGAGUGGGGGAAAGAAGAAGGGGCCUGCCCAAUUGCGGGUUUUCAAUUUGGGGAAUACAUCACCUGUUCCAGUUACGGAUCUUGUGACCAUUUUGGAGAGACUUUUAAAGGUGAAGGCUAAGAGAAAGAUAACAAAGUUGCCACGUAAUGGGGAUGUUCAGUUUACACACGCAAACAUCAGUUUGGCUCAGAGGGAACUUGGAUAUAAGCCCACAACGGAUCUGCAGACAGGGCUGAAGAAAUUCGUUCGGUGGUACCUCAGUUACUAUUCUGGUGGGAAGAAAGCCUCUGGAUGAUAAAAUUCUUUUGAUAGUGCGGUAGACCCCUUUGAAUUCUUGUUGAAUAUAAAUAUUAUGAUUGUUUUUAACGUUUCUGUCAGUGCCCGUAUUGUUUUUCUAUAUAUCAUUAUGAUGUAAUGCCAUAUGAGGAGGAACCUUGUGAACUAUGGUGAAGAAGUUUUGUGGUUGUGGGACAUUGUCGUCUAAGUACUCCCAUGCUGUAUUGAGCGAAAUUGAGGACCAUCUCUUUCUAUUUUUUGUUGGAAUGUAAUUGUUGGAGCUAUGGCGUUGUAGAAUUCAUGACUGAUAGAGCAUAUGCUAAUUGGUGAACGUAUAUCAUUGCCAAGCAAUCAAUAAAAUAGCGCACGAUAGUUUGGAUCCUAACUACCAUAUGAAGUGAAUCACAAUAUUUUUGUGCAAUACGUUAUUUUUUUUCUUCAUAAACUGCAUUUUUUGUAAUUAAUGUCUGUAAUUGAUGGCCAUCGAUUCCUAUGCUGCAGUUUUAUGGUUAAUUUUGCAGCUGACUUUGUUGCCCUGUACUCUGACCUUUAGAACGAGGUUAAGUAUGCCAUGUAGCUCAACUGCAAGGCUAAUCCUGCUCCCCCUUUAUUGCUUAGAGUUAAUGACAGAUCAUUCUUGCAUAUCAGGUUUGCAUUUCAGUUUUCCUUUACUUUCUGGUUUAUAUUGUCAAUAAUACACAUGAUAUUUGGGGUGCUAAAAUUAUAUGUUCUGCUAAGCUUUAUACUCUAUAUCAUGAAUUUGGGUGCUCAUUUACUGUAUUCCUUGGAAAUGACAUAGUUAGCCAAAGAACUUUUAAUUUUUACUCUGAGUUAGAUUUGAAUCCUCUCUAUCAUUUGGUUAUCUCUCGUUUAGGGUUCUUAUUAACCUUUUGGUUUUCUUCUUUUGUUGAAAGACGAUGAAUUUAGAAGUACAUAAAAAAGUGGAAAGUGAAAACUUCUAUUCAUUUAUUUAUAUAUCUUUCUUCUGUUGUCAAUUUCUUUUGUUACAGACUUUAGCUUCUUCUUUUUCCUCCUUCGGCUGAUUUUGGAAGUCCCGUUUGGCAUUAUACGUAUGUUAAAACUUAAAACUACCUCAAGUAACUCUUUCAUCUUUUUUUUAUCCACAUUUCCUUAUUUGUGCAUGAUAUAGUUUUGGUAAACUGUAUGUUGUCUUUGUUUUAGUAAGCGAGUUAUGACAAAGAUGAUAAUUCCAUAGUCCAAAUACAGGGUUGGACAUUUUUUUUUUUUAAAUUUCAGUAACAUGUUAUGUUAUCAACACUGUUAAUCUGUAGCAUACAUUCAACAAGAAACCGUCUAAUAAAGUCCAGAUUGAAAGUGCGGUAGCAUAACACUUGUUGGGUAAGAAGACCGUUGACUUGCUUUUCAUUACAAUUCAUUUAUUUCUUGUAAUCAAUCUCAUGUUCUGCCAAUUUUAGUUCCAGAAGACGGCAAGAAUACGCUUGGCUUUUUGUUAAACUGUCUUUACAUGCUUGGGGAUGAUUGCAUUCUAUUAUAAACUAGUAGUUUGUGUCUUGGAUGGCUAAUAAGUUGCAGGAGUACUGAGUCAUUAAGAUUAUUUUGAAAGAAGUUCGAGAAGGGGUAAUAUUCUUUUCUCAGAUAUCUGGCAUGUUAUGUUAUCAACACUGUUAAUCUGUAGCAUACAUUCAACAAGAAACCGUCUAAUAAAGUCCAGAUUGAAAGUGCGGUAGCAUAACACGUGUUGGGUAAGAAAAAAUUAUCAAGUUUUGGCAGAGGAUGCAAAAAGGAACAAGUGGGAAAGAGUGGGAAGGCGUCAAACGUAUAGUUGUCUCGGAUCAUUUGACAUGUUGAACGGAACAAUAAGCUUCAAAAGGUAAUCAGUUUUCUUCUACGCCGAUUCGACAUAUGUUUAUAUGUGGUGUUAGUUUGUUUUUGCAUAUUUAGACGUUUAUUGCCUUUCAUUAUAUGUUUUUUUGGAGAGGGGCCGUCCUCUUUUAACAAUUCAAUUAUUUGAUUUGCCUGAAUUUUGGACACUUCUGGGAAAUUGUGUUGGGUGUGUGCCUGAUUUAACUUGUCAGCAAAGGAAAGGGAUCCUCUCCGGAUCCCUUCCUCCUAAUCCAUCAAGUCCGAGGAUCCGGGCCAUUGAAAUUUAAUUAAACGGCUAAAGUUAUUAUAACUUUUAAAGUGGGUCUCUGUUUGUAGCCGUUUGAUCAAAUUUUAAUGGUUUGGAUCUUCGGUGGAUUAGGCGGUAGGGAUCUGGAGAGGAUCCUUUUCCGUCAGCAAAGCCUAAUAAGUAAUUUCAAAAAUCCAGUCGGUCAUUUGGCUCCAAUAUGGAUUUUCUUGAAUUGACAUUGGUUGGAUUUAGCUAAAUUCUGUCAUCUGUGCGGGCGUGGACGGUCGUGAAUAAUUGAUUGUUAGGAGGCCCAUCGUUAAACAACUGCGCUAACAUAGCUCCUAAUUUCAGGCACCAAUGAUCAAAACCGGAUAUCACUGUACAGUUGAUUUUCUCAUCAACUAAACAGAAUGUCUCAAUUUAGUAACGGCAAUUAGGGGCUACUAUUCUAUACAACAAAUAGAAAUUAAUGACACUAAACUAUAAUGUUAGUGACAGUAAAUGGAGGCACAUUUAGUGAUGAAUGAUAUUACUCCAAUUGCUAGAGAUGAUUUGCUUGGACAGGAUAACGCACUAGUUUCAAAGCUUAAUAAAAGAAAAUGAUGAUAUCUAUGCGGGACACUCAUUUCCCCUUUGACCGGGUUGAAAUUCCUAGCAAGAUUUUUAUUGAGGCAUAUGUAAUUGCACCCUAUUCUCAUCUCUUGUACAUCUUUCCAAUUUCUAUGAAUGAAUAUCAUACUAUACCUAAAAAAAAAUCCCCCUAAAACUGAUCGUAUUGAAGGGAAUACCUUCCUUCAUAAAUAUUUCAUCUUCUACCUUCAAACUUGAACAACGCUUAUAACUUGUCCUCUAUUUCUUUCUUCAAUAUACCUUAAUCUAGUGAGUUGUGUUUUCAAGUCAAUCCUCCAAAAGAAACGCACCACAAAAAGCUACUUGGGUUAGCGUGGUGAGUAGACUGAUGAGUAUGAAUAGCAACUGAAAUAUUCCAUGGUCAAACCAAUUAAAAAUAAAAGCUGCGAUUGAUCAUUAGUUGAAAAUUAUUACCUAGGCUACUACAAAACAAAAACAAAUUCAUCAUUUUGUUGGAAAAGCUUAGCAGCCUCUCGAGUUUUGAUUCAACGUGGGGCUCGGUGGAGGGUAGGUAAUGGGUUGAAGAUUAAGAUUUGGGGAGAUAGCUGGUUGCCGAGAGAAAAUUAUGCUAAAGUUUUGAGCCCCCGGCCACUAGGAGUGCAUCACAACCUCACGGUUAGAUCUCUGAUGGUGGAGACGGAUCGACUAGGAUGGAAUGUGCAGGAGGUAUCACAAAUGUUCUUUCCUGAAGAGGCCACUCUCAUUUUCAAUAUUCCAUUGAGUUUAUUUAGUCCAACUGAUGAAUUGAUUUGGAUUAAAGAACCCAGGGGAAAAUUUACAACAAAGAGUGCUUAUUUUGUUGCUCGGACAUGUCGGCAGAGAUUAAAUUUAUGUGGAAGGCACCGUGGCGUGCAAAAGUACCGGGGAAGGUUAAAAUCUGCGUCCGGAGGGUUUGUUUAGCUGCUUUGCCGACAAGAGUCAACUUAAAGAUAAGAAAAGUCCUUAUGGAUGAUGGUUGUGUCUUCUGUGGAAAUGAACCUGAAUCGGUUGAACAUGUUCUGUUGCAUUGUCCUCAUGCUAAAACUAUAUGGAGCUACAAUCGAUUGGGUUCGCAAGCUCUGCAACAAGGAGAGAUUGGAGUACAAGAUUGGUUGGAUCGUUUGGCUUCCAAUUUAUCACGGGAGAGCUUUGACUUAGUGCUUGUUCUGUUAUGGAACAUCUGGAAAGCUCGUAAUGAGCUGUUUUGGAAUGGUGUGGUAACGCCACCUCAGGAAAUUCCAAUUAAAGCAAGUACUUGGUUGCUAGAGUUUAAGAAAUGGAAUAUGGUGCAACCUAAGACUAAGUCUGACGGUGUGCAGAAAUGGAGGAAGCCGGAGGAAGGGUGGUUCAAAUGCAGUUUUGACGGUGUGUGGGAUGAACAUGGGAUGCCGUUGGGGAGUUUGUUGCUGCAGCGGCAGUAAAAAUGGAGGGGAUUACAUCGGCUCUGUUGGUAGAAACUUUAGCAGCUCGUGAAGCGGCGCUGCUCGUACAACAAUGGCGGGCGCAAAAGGUAAUUUGGGAGGUGAUGCCUUGUUGGUGAUAGCUGCCGUUCAGAAUGGUGAAAAUGUUAAUCAUGAAAAUACUGUAACCUCCAUCUCCCUCCUUGCAAUGCCUUGGAUGAAUUCUCCUGUUUCAUUUUAUAAAAAACGAAACCUAAUAAAUAACAAAAAAAGAAGGGCAAAAGACUGUUUACUACCUUCAAGUUUCAUGGUUUUCAACGUUUAGUACAUCAAUUUUUUUUCAUCCCAGAGUCAUACCUAAAGUGUUAAUUUUGGGACAGUCUCAUACAUCCGUUAGUCAAACUGUUAACUUUGCUGUUAAAUGAUGAUGUGGCACCCACGUGGACAAUGACUAGGCGCCACGUGUCAUUAAAAAAAUUUAAAAAUAAUUAAACUAUUAAAAUAAUUAAUAAAAUGAAAGUAAAAAAAAAAAAAAAAAUCCUUUGAUCCCCAUUAUCUUCCCCACCCCGACCCCCCAUCCUUUCUCCCUCUACACAUCCAUCCUUCCCCUCCCCCUUCUCCCUAGAUUCCCUUUCGUUUUUUCUCUUGUUCCCUCUGCAUAGGCCCAGUCCUUUGUCAACUUUGAGAACUCAAUGCCGUCCACACCCUCUGCACAUCCAAGAACUCAGCUGUCCACUCCGUCGAGGUCCAGGAACCCGACAAGUCCCUUGUCCUCAGAUGGAAGCACGGCGACCCUCUCUUCCAUAGAAAUCUCGCCUAGCUGCAGAGAUUCAAGAACAACAACCAACCAACCAACCAAAUCUCAAUCAAACAACCAAUCAGUCAGUCAAUCAAUCAAUCAAUCCAAAUCCAAAAAUUCAAAUUGUAGAGAGAGAAAAAGAGAGGAGGCGUACAGAGAUAGCUUUGGGGGUGGCGUAGGGAGGGCGGAGCUCCGGUGAGGAAAUCAGAGAAAGAGGACGGGAGGGAGGGAUGGUGGUUGGUGCGGGUUGUAAAGGAGAGAAGAGAGGGAGGGAGAGGGAGGGAGAGUGGGUGGUUGCAGAGGAGAGAAGAGAGGGUGGGGGUUGUAGCAAGUGCUAGGGGAGGAGUGGAUGGAGAAAGGGUGGCUCGGGUAGGCAAGGGGUGGGUGAUGGGGGUGCUCGGAUGGAGAAGAUGAAGGGGGUGGAUGGGAUGAAGGGGGCGGAGGGGAUGAGGGAAGGAUGGAUGUGCAGAGGGAGAAGGGAGGGCGGUCGGGGUGGGGAAGACAAAGGGAUAUGGGGAAUUUUUUUUAAAAAAUUUUAAUUAAUUCAUUAUUUUAAUAGUUUAUUAUAUUUUUAAUGACACGUGGUGCCCAAUCAUUGUCCACAUGGGUGCCACGUCACAGUUAAUGGGAGACUUAACAGUUUGACUAACGGAUGUAUGAGACUGUCCCAAAAUUUACACUUUAGGUAUGACUCUGGGAUGAAAAAAAAUUGAUGUACUAAAUGUUGAAAAUCAUGAAACUUGAGGGUAGUAAAUAGUCUUUUGCCCAAAAAAGAAUGAUUUAAAAAAGGUGAUAGCAUGGAUAGGAUUAAUACUCAGCGGAAAUGAAAUUGUUAUAAUAAAAAUAAAAAAAUUGAAACUGCAUACCAAUGAAAUCAAGUUGUUUGUUUGAUUCGAAAAACUAAGAAAAGUAGAAAAUCAUCAAUGACCUAAAUCGACAAAACUAAAAAGAUUUUGCAAAACCUAAUUUAAUCACCCUACAUAUAUGAACAAUAAUAUACAAUUUAGGGUUUUGUAUGCUUUGCUUAUGUAAUGAAGAUUCAAGAGACUAAUAGCUUGAUUCAUUGUAGAAGGCAUCAAAAUUUCAUAUCAAUCCUAUGAAAGUUGUAGACUUCAUCGGCAAAGAGGGAGAUGGAGGUUACAGUACUUCGAAUCAAUGGAGUUCUACGUCAUUUCUUGUUUGCACUCUUAAAACUAGGGUUUCCUCCUUUUUAAUUUUAUUUUUAAUUACCUUCCAUAUUUUAUGUUUUAUGUUUUUUGAAUUUUAUUUUUAUGUUUAAUAUUAGUUAAAAUCCACUUAAGCAUCCAUGUUAUUUAAUGAAUGAAUAUGGACCUUUGGAUGUUUUGUAAUCUAAAGGUUUAAAAAAAGUGUAAAAAUAUUUGUCAAAAUGUUUGUCCCUUGAUCCUAUUCCUAUAUAUAUAUAUAUAUUAUUUUUUAUUUUUUUGAUGUAUGAUGCAAAAUAUAUAUAGGAGUUGAGUGGGUUAGUAAAGAUUUAUUUUUCCAGAAGGGUUAAUAUCUCCAUUAGCUAAACCAUUCCUUACCUUGCCCUUGGACUCUUAUUUUGUUUGUAUACAAUCAACGGAGGCCUCCUCCACAUAUGUUGCAACUUCUUCAAUAGCAUGCUAUUAUUUCGUCUUUCCCUUAAAUAAGUCAUCAAAUUUGGUGCUUUUUGAUCCCUAGUUGCUAUGGAGAACAACAAUGAAAUACAAUUAAUUCCUCUAUUCAAGUGGUACUCACUUUUUUAUAUUUUAUUUUAUUUUUAUAAUUAGGGUUGUUUUAUUUAAACCCCACAAUUUGUUGAAAACACCCCACAUUCAAAUUUUCUUCUUACAAUUCCAGCUUUACCCUUCGUUUUGUUGAAUCCUUCCCACCUCCAACCCACAAACAAUAAAAUCCCACAGCUACCCACCCCACAACCACAACGACAACUUUGCCGAUGGCCCCAUUCAAUCGUAAUUUUCUUUCUUUCAUAGUUACUUUUGUUUGGCAUUUGACAUAGGACUGAGGGGAAUGAUCACACAUGCAUUGGGCUAUUGCGAUUAUGGAUGAAAAUGCAGCCUAUAAAAUUGUUAAAAGCCCCUUUCCAUCAUUUCCAUGAUAGACAAUUUGGAUGUUGCGAUGAAAUUUUUAGAUUUAUAAAGUGUAUAGCUAACUGUAUGAAAUUUCAAUUUUUUUUUGUUUUGGCUAGGUUGAAUGGAAUCACGGGAGAAGGGUGGUGGUGGUGAGUGGGUGGAUAUGUUAGAUUUUUUUGUAUUUGGGAGGUGGGGUGAAUUCAACAAAAGGAAGGGUAAAGUUGGAAUUGUAGGGAGAAAAUUUAAUUAUGGAGUGUUUUCAACAAAUUAUGGGGUGUGAAUAAAAAAACCCUUAUAAUUAUUGUGUAAGGCUUGUUUUAUUAACACCCUACAUUUUGUUGACUACACCCUACUCCCCACAAUUGCUUUUUAAAUUAAAAUUUUUCAUCCCACGUAUUUUUAAUACAAGAGGAUGUCUUCCCAAGAUGCUAGGUUCAACAAAAAACAUUCAGAGACGAAGUCUUGUAAUUUUCCACAUUGGACCAUUUGUUGAAAAGUAUAUGUGUUCCAACCUGAGAUCAUCACACUUAGAAGUAACAAUUGUAUAGCAAUUUUCCUUUGAUCUUGGAACCACCAAUAUGUUCUUCCCACGUUUAUCAACAAUUCUGCAACUCGUCUUGGAAAAGCAAAUUUCAUUAGCAACUUUGUCACAGAGUUGACCAAUACUAAGGAGAUUAGUUGAUAAUCCAACCACAUAGCAAACAUCUUCAAGCAUAGGAAGUCCAAGAAUCUUCAACACUCAUUUUCCAACAAGCUUAGCCUUGUCUCCUUCACAAACUCAAUCAUACUACUUUUGAAUGGCACAAGAGAUUAAAAAAAAAAAAACAUCUUUAUCACUUGUCAUAUGAUGAAAGCAACCACUGUCGAGGUGCCAAGUGUCUGGCCUAGAGGAUGAUGUUGAACUUUGAGCAAACAAACACUUCCCAAAUCUACGUUGAAAGCCACUUGAACUUGACUUGAAAUUUCUUAAGCUCGAAGAAUUAACAAUCUUGGACAUUCUGCUGACCUUUAUAGUUAAACAAUUCACUUGUUCCUUUAGAUCAUUUUCCCUUUCCAUGUGUAGUUUUCUACACCUAAGUAUAAUGUGGCCAAGAUCACAACAAUGAUGACAUUUAGGAACGAAUCUAGACCCUGAAGUAGAGUUAGCCAAAGGAGAUAUAACAAAUAAUUCCUUACAAGCAUGCAAGUUCACACUCAUGGAACUUGAAUUGUUAUCAUCACAAGCAACCACAUCAUUACCUUCAAAUUAAUUUCUUGUAGCGAAUGCUCUUUCUGAUGAGUCAACACCCAUAGACAGACAGUUUAACUAACAAGUAGCCUCAUUCAAUCCAGAAGUCAACUUCAAAUUAGUUUCCCGAUAUAGUUCAUUGUUUUCCCGUAGCAAAUGAAUUUGUUGAAGCAGACUUUCGUGCCAUAUCAUUAACCUUUGAACAUGAUCUUCAAGAAAGGAAAUUAGGUCAUCCAUUUCAUCAUCAUCAUCAUAGAAGAAAUCUCUUUCAUUUAACUUGUGAAGUUCAUCCUCUAACCGUAUGAUUUUGUCACUCAGUUCUGAUCAAACUAGUCAAAGAGACACAACUUUCUUGCAACACAGAUACAUUUUUGGUAAGCUCAACAUUAUCCAAUGUUGAAACACACAUCUCAUCAAAUGGAGAUUCAUACAAAUUGGACAACUCCUGAGAUGAUGACAUAUUGGUAUCAUCCAGUACUUUGUCUUUUCCUCUGGAUGAUGUUUCAUCAACAGAUGUAACAAGCUCAUCUUUAUCAUCUGAUGACUUGUCUGAUGAUACAAAAUCUUGCUUAUCAUUGUCACUCCAAGUAGCCAUCAUAGCCUUUUCAGGUUUCUUACUAAGAAGUCUGGUGUUGUCACAUUUAGCUACACGGUGCUCACUUCCACCAUACACAAAAUAGGGGCCAGACACUUUAGAUAGACUUUUGUCCUUCUUUUUUGAAGAAUCACUAUAUUUCUCACCAGAAAGUAGUUUUUCACGAUUGUUUGAUGACCCCUCAGACCACUUGACAUCCCUUCCUUUGUUUUUGAGGCCUUUUCUAAAUUACUUGACAAAUAGGCAAGAUCAUCCUCUGAGAGCAAAUCACAAGAGUCACUUGUAAUAUUGCGGUUAUCAACACUUUGAAGAGCAACAUCUUUUCCCUUUUUGGUGACACCCUUAUCCAUGUCAAGCUACAUCUCAUAAGUAAUAAGUUUCCGAACUAACUUUUCGAGUUUAAUCUCAUUUAAAUCUUGAAAUUCUUGGAUGACAGCCUUCUUUGCUUGGAAUCUUUUGAGCAAAGAUCUCAAGAUCUUUUGAACAAUUGUCGUUUCACAUAUUGGUUUCCCUAAUCCCAAGGCUUCAUUCAUCAACAUUUCACCCUUUUCAUAUAAGGAAGAGAAGGUUUCUGACUCAAUCAAUCUUAGAUCUUCAAACUUUGAGAGGGUCAUUUGAAGCUUCAAAUCCCUCACUUGUUUGUCACCUUCAUGAAGGAUUCGAAGUUUGUCCCAAGCUUGCUUUGUAGUUGUACAAUAAUGAAUAUGAGAAAACUGAGUUGGCGAUAUGGCUGAUACAAUGACAUUUCUUGCCUUUCUAUUUGCCAUGAUAGAUGUCACUUCACCAGUAUUCUAUUCACUUUUAGGUUUGAUCUCCAACUCCCCAUCAACAGCUCUAGAGGGAGCCCUCCACUCAAAAGUAAGAUAAUCAACAGCAAGAAAAUUCGGAGCCUCAAGGAAAUUUUGCAACUUCUCACUCCAAGCCGUAUAAUUCAACCAUCAAAGAAUGGAGGAGAAUUACACGACCCAGCAACACGAUUACAAUCCAUGAUGUGAGACUAUCCAAUACCAAAUGAAUCUUGGAGAUUACUCUAUGUAUGUCUAAAGCAAGGCUCUGAUACCAAUUGAAAUUGGUACCAGGUGGAAUACCCUGCAAUAAAACCUUAAAAGCAAUUGUACUGACUAGCUAAUGUACUAGUCAAUUGAAUACAGAUUGCUAGAAUCCCACAAGCAUAUAAAUCAAACAAACUUAAAAGGUUAAGACUUAACAGUGUGAACUUCAGUUAAGCUUUAGUCUUAGUACUUGAGUUAAGUUCUAGUCUUAGUACUUGAGUUAAGUUCACUUGAUUAAUAAAGUGUCAAUACUAGCAAACCCUACAAUGUUUAGUUUCAACAAGGUUAUAAAUAAGGCUUUGUAAAGUAUUGAACACAAGCAAGUUUUUUGUCAGAAAAACCCACAUCUAGGUUAAAAAAUCAGGAACUCUCUGCUGAGUCCAAUCCACUAGUGUAAAUAAAGGUUCAUACAAAGACCACACAAGCUCAAUUCCUAGAUCCCUAUAUACGGAGCAGCUUUACCUUUGUGCAACCUUGACUUACACGAGACAGACUCAUGUCUUCAAGAAGUGGUAGCUCCUUCUGAGCUCAUCACCUUGUGGCACAAGGAUCAACAUGAUCAAUGAUGUGAUAUGAUUUUAUGAUAUGCACAAGAGUUUUGGAUUCAACUGACCAGUCAAGUUCUUCAGUCAAACAGUUGAAGAAAAACUUAAUAUAAAUCUGAUAGAUUAGUCUAUGAAGGAUAUGAAAACUUAGGUUUAGACCAAAAGCUUAAUGCAAAAUCAUUAAAACAAUGCAACCCUAAUAUGCAGUGAUUGGGUGUUUGUGCAUGAGAUGGUUUUGUGGCUAGGGUUUCGGUUUAGAAGCUUAAGAGGUAGCCCUAGCCUAAAUGCACUCUUUUUGUGAAAAUCCUUAUAAUGGAGGAGAUGAAUGUUUCAGACAAGGGGAACAAAGAGACAUGUGUCACAAGCUGAAGAGACCUUCCCAUAUCAAGGGUGAGAAAUCCAUGCACAUGAAAAGGUGUCAUAUGGGCCAUGUGGGCUGUCUUAUUUUGCGUGCCUAGACACCUGGAAAAAAGAUGAAAAUUAUGACUAUACAACUACAUUAGACAAAAGGAUUCUGAAAAAAUAAUCUUGACAUGCAUAUGCAAAUGUAUGAUUUAAACCUUUUGUAGUGAAGAUGGCUGGUCCUUUGACGAUUUAAUUCCAAUAGAAAUCCCAGAUCAGCAUUAACUCCAAAUUAUGAGCAUGUGUGGUAACAUUUACAAUUUUUUGACAAGUGAAGCAAAACAUUAAACCUAGUACUUGUCAUCAUGUGUAUGAAAAGUUAUUAAUACCAUUGGUUAAAAAUAAAAGGAACCAUUUCUAUUUCACACAGCACAAAAAAUGGCAAUUCAUUUUUCUGAAAAAAGUGUUGAAAAUCAAUUUUAUCGACAUUUAGGUUAAAAUGAAAGUGUAAACAAAAAAAAAUAUUAAGUUUGAAGAAUAUUCAAAAUCUGAGACAUAUACAUUUAGUAUUGAAAUGAAAAUAGCAUGAGGGAGUGAUUUGGUUACCAUUGCAUCAACCAAUAUAAUAUUAUAAUGUGUAAAUCAGAGAAUAGGGAUGAUAAUUUUAACAUUAAACCCGAUAACCGUGGAUAACCGCUCAAAUGGAUUAGAUUUAGGUAUGAAAAUAUAUUUUAGAAAUGGAAAAAAACCGUGAAUAUUAUUUAGUGAUGGUUUUGGAUAUGGUUAUCGGGGUCCCCAACCCGUUUCCAUCCUCAAAAUCAACCCGAAUAAUAAUAUAUAUAUAUAUAUAUAUAUAUAUAUAUAUAUAUAUAUAUAUAUAUAUAUAUUCAUCUCACCAAAUCCAUUACCUUGAGAAUACAAAAGUUGCUUUGUGUGAGUUGCAUUUUGUCGGAAAGUUCAAAAUGUUUGAAACAAAAUCAAUGAGAAUUCAAUGGUACUUAUGGAAGAUAUCAAAGAUCAGUGAACAUCACCAAUAUUUAGGCUUAAUUUUUAUACUCAACUUCAUUGAAUCAUCUUAUACAUCAAAUAUUUAAUGAUGAAAUAAAUAUUUAAUGCCUUAAUUGAAUGAAUAUAUUUUUUUUGUAUUAACAAAGAUAGAUAUAACUGUUAACCAAUGGGGAAUCUGUUAAUCGAUGUGUAUGGAUAAUACUCGCUGGUUAAUUUGCGGUUAUGUGUAUGGUUAAUUUUCGUUGUUAUAGGGAUAGAUAUAACAUUUCCUUCUCCAAACCGAACUGUUGCCAUCUCUAUCAGAGAACUGGUCGGAGUUGAAAUGCUUAAGUCUCCAAAAUUUGCCACGCGAACUCUAAUUGUUUUGGCCGGAUUGAAAGGGAUCUAAAUUACAUAUUAGAACUAUGUUCAUUGGACUUAAAACUCUGAAAGUAAAAUGUUAUAAUUGUUAGUAAACAAAUGUGUAAAGAGAGACCUAGUGAUAGGUGACACGCCCGACCCUGAUAUUCCCCGAAUACCAGGGUAGGCACGUGUUGGCCGACACCCGAAUGUGACGAAGCCAUACUAAGAUGCAUGAGAACUAAAGAAUAUAAAUAAGACUUAUAAAUUUAAAAGUAAUUAAUAUGCAAAUAAGGAACGUGUUCAGAGCGUACAACUAACUAGAACACUAAAAUGAAAUAAUAUAAAAUUGAAUGCAUACAGAAAGGGUCCUACAUUGAGAGGACUCUAAGAUGCCGAUGCAGGAGUGCCUUGACGCCGGGACUGUACGCCUCGAUUCUAAGUCCUAGCAUCAAGGCACUCCCACAUCGGCAUCUUCGAGUCCUCUCGGUGUAGGACCCAUUCUUAGAUUCAUUCAAUUUUAUAUUAUUUCAUUUUAGUGUUGUAGUUAGUUAUAUACUCUGAACACGUUCCUCAUUUGUAUAUUAAUUACUUUUAAAUUAUAAGUCUUAUUUAUAUUCUUUAGUUCUCAUGCAUCUUAGUAUGGCUUCGUCACCUUUGGGUGUUGGCCAGCACGUGCUUACCGUGGUGUUUAAGGAAUAUCAGGGUCGGGUGUGUCAGACUAGUAUUAGAGCAUACUUAGGACUUCAUUCUUCCAUUUGGUAACCAUAAUCCAUCGUUCUUCUAAAUCUUGUUUGCUUCUAUCAAAUUCAUGGAUCCUGCUGGUGGGAAUAUACCCCAAUGACAUCAUUCUGGUGUAAUGGGGAAAAUGUAGUAGUUAACCUCCGCCUUUCGGAAUGUUUUUCCUGGCAGCAGCAGGCCAAGUCGUACAUACAUGGAGAUUGCUCAUAGCCACGGCGUUAUGGAUCUUAGGGUAGUUAAAGCCUGUCAUGAGGCUAAAGAUUGGUUGGAGAAAAUGGAGGAUACUCUUGAGAGCAUGAAAUGCCCACUGACUAAAUGGGCGAAUACAGCUGGUUGCUUCCUUCAGGGGGAUGCGAGGUUUUGGUGGAAGUCAGCGAAGAGCUCUGGUCCACCUGGUUCCUUGAUGACUUGGGCCACAUUCAGGAGACUCUUCAGCGCACACUUUUUGAGCCCUAGUUAUCAACUGAGAAUGAGAUAAGAGUUUUUAGAGUUUUGCCAGGGCGACCUGAGCAUUUCACAGUUUGACAGUAUUUUUCCGCAAAUGUCGAGACACCAUGAGGAAACUUAUGGGAACCAGAAGGAAAUGAUGAUUCAGCUACAAAUUACCUUAAACCCAGACUAUCGCCAACUUGUGGCUGCACAGAGGCAUAUAUCCUACGAGAAGAUGAUGGAGACGUACUUGAGGAUCGAACAGUUAAGAUGAGACAGUCUUAAUCAGGAUCAGCCUCGGAGUCAGAACCAGCCUCGGAAUCAGAACCAGAAUCGGUGGGAUUGAGGAUUCUGAUCCCGAAGUAUAAGGGAGCAUUUUACUUCUUCUUAUUCCUUUGGCCCUAGACAGUUGCAUUCGUUCAAGUGACAAGGCCAAGGUUCGGGAUCAUCUAGUGACGGCUAAGGUAGUGAGUCGAUGAGACACUCUUUCAGCCACUAUAAUCUAUUGAUUCCUACUUGUGUGCGUUGUGGUAUGUGCCAUAUGGGAGAUUGCACUGUGAAUACUGGCACGUGUUGUAGGUGUGGUGGUAUUGGACACUUUGCCCGUGUUUGCCCUUCGGCACACCUAUCAGAAAAUUAUGCUUCUUGUUCAAGUUAUAGUGGGGGAAGUAACCCGAAUGCUCAGAGUUAUGGUGAUACUCAGAGCUAUAAUGACAGUAGUAAUCAGAGUACCUAGUUUUCUGCUCAACGAUAGCCAUAAUAUCCUGGAGUAGCUUUGGGUAAUCGCACUCAGGGGAACAGAGUGGACCGUAACAAUCAAGGACCUUGGUGGCCGUAACAAUGGAGCGGGACGUCAGGCUUAUAGGCAUAUCAACGCCAUAACUCAGAAGGAGGUGGAACAAGACCCUAGAGAUAUUACUGGUAUGUUAUUUGUUUAUGGUUUUUGGGCUCGUGUUCUUGAAUCAAAGUUACGCUUUCAACCUGUUGGAAAUAUGCCCUGAAAGUCAAUCUUUGGAAGAAACCUUUCAGGACAAAUAAAUCGAUGUAUAGAUGAAUCUUAUACAUCAAAUGGCAAAGAUACUAAUUAGGACUAUCUCAAUAAACGAUAUAUGUCCUAAAUAGUGUAUCCAUGGACAAUGGAUCGAUUGAAGAAGUAAUCUAAUGAUGUUAGACUACAGAGACCUUCUUCACAUAACCAAAUGUCCAAAAAGGUUCCUGGUCAUUGGAUUGUCGGAGGGAUAAUGACAAUGCUUAGACCGGUACAUACUGUGUCUGCUUCAAAUGGAAGGAUGGAAAGUCUCAUCACAUUCGUGUUGUGACACUAAGACAAGUAUGUAGGUGCUCAUUAAGGGAAUGAGUUCACUGAACACAAUCGAAUGAGAGUACUUGCAUGGAGGUCUACUCACAUGUCAAGCAAGUAACUCUAAUGGUUGGAAUAAUGUAAGUAGUCCUUUGACCUGAGGCAUCGUUGUUGUCUUGUGGUUAAGUACUUAAUCUUUGAUUAUGUCAAAGUCUCCCCAUUCGCGGGUGUCCACGACAUAAUUGGGGUUAAGCCACUUAGUCAUGAAGGCAAGUGUAUGCGCAACAAGGAAUCUCUAAUCCUCGAUAAGAGAUGAAGAAUACUCUAAGAUAUGAUUCGGGAAUCUUCGGCCGAAGUAUCGAGCGUAAUAAAGGAAAGCGUUCCUAUACGACUCAAAAGAAUCAUAUAAGAAGGAAUAAUCACAUUAGGGGUUUGACAUAAUAUUUCCAUACCCUAGUAAUGUGAUUGAGAGUAUUGUUUUAGAGAAGGAUCGAAUUACAUUGUAAUUCCAACUGAAUAGGUUCUCCGAACAAACUUCUACAUUAGCUUGGGUAGCCAUGAUAUAUGGUUAGAUGUCACUCAUGGCUUGUGAGUUCUUCUAAAUGAUUAAAUGUAGUCGUCAAAGAAGAAGGUGAAUUAAAAGUAUGUUUUAAUUCACUAAGUGAUUGGAUUAAAUAUAAUCAAUUAGAUUGGUGCCAAUCACCUCACUGCCUUGCUAAUUAGAACCUAAAAGAUUGCUCACCAAUACACUAUUGUAGUGAGUAACUAAUGGAUGAUGGAAAUAAUUAAUUGGAUUAAUUAAGUGUUGUGAUUAAUUUAGAAAGUCUAAAGAAAUCAUAAAAGCGAUAAAGAUCGUUUUGGGCUUAAAGAAACGUUCGGGUUUAAUUGGGCCCAUUGGGCCUAAACCCAUUGGGCUUUUAUUCAAGCAUUGGAUGACUUGAAAUAUAUAAAGCCCAAAGCCCAAAUCCAACACAAGAGGCCGGCCACUUUAAGUGGAAAGGGAGAGAUAUUUAGUCAAGUGGUUGACUAGGUUUCUUUUAGUCUAUAUAAGGAACUUUAUAGAGAUAUUGUUCAUGAGGGUUUUUGAAGUGUUAAAACAACAAAGAGGCAAAAGAAAAAUAGCUCUCUAACACUACAAAGGCCGGCCACCUUAGGGGUGUUUUUACUAACACAUCUUUCACCCUUUUGGUUAUUCCUUCAUCCUUCUCACUACACUAGUGGGUGAGGAUCUUUAGAGGUUUCCUACUUUGGAAACUUAAAGAGAACCUAGGAGCACUUAUUCUAACAAAGUGGAGGAGGCAAGGAGGGAAGCUAGGCUCAAGGAGUUCAAGGAACAAAGGGCUUGGAGGUGGUCCAUCCUUGGUCUCAAGUCUAGAUCAAGAGGUAUUAGACUAAACCUUUACUUUGUUCUUCUCUAAAAUUGUUUGAUGCAUUAUAUAUAAACCUAUGAACCUUGAAGGGGAUUUGCAUGACUAUAGCUUUGAUAAUUUGUUAUAACUGCUUCCGCUGCUUUCGUAUAUUAAAUUUGAUUUGUAUAUGCAUGAUAGUCAUUUUGAAAUCCCUAUAUGUGAAAACUCAUAAUUUUCCCUUCACAACCUAGUCAUCUUGUACUCUAGUUUUGAUGGAUUUGUUUUGACCCUUAAAUUCUUAAGUGUUCUUUAGCCUUCUCAGCCUAGCUGAUUACUAAAUUCGAGAGAAAAUCUUCAAUGAAUCAGCUCGCUUAGGCUUUGUGAAUCACAUUAUUUGAGUUUACGGUAUGCCAUAACUACUAGCACCUCUUUGUGACGCGCGUUUCACAUAUAAGUCUUGUGAAGUUUUCUUGAAGGCCAUAAGUACUAAGUUGUUGUUUAGUACUACAUUUCACAAACUAUUGGACAGUCUGAUCAAGUUAUCUAGACCUUGGAAGACGUUUUAUGUUCGCUUGUUAUGUGGUUUCGGCAUGAGAAUUUGCACCUUUGGGAAGUGACUGCUUGUUUAUCGAGACAACAAUGUGUUGUCGAUAUUGCAGGUUGCAGACUGUAAUAUCGAUGGCUUAUCGUUGAGUUCGCUAAGCAAGUAGGUAAGUAGGCCGUAUAUGUGAAGUGAGACAGGAUGCGAGCUAUGUUGAGGAGCCAGUACCGUAUAUUUUUAGUUAAGUUUGUAAUUCUAGGGAUGAAACUCUUACAAGGGGGUAGAUUGUAAUUCUAGGGAUGAAACUUUUACAUUUCCCCUAAAAGUUUAUGAAAUUUUACAAUUUGGUCCUCAUAUCCUCACCCAAUCCAGAUCUGAAUUUUAGAUUCUCUCCCUUUCUUUAAAUGCCACAUGGCAUACCUUAUCCCUUAUCCUUCAUUCUCUUUCUCAUCCCCCAAUCACUUCCAGCUCACUCAUUAUCUCGAACAUUUCCUCCUCUUCUCUCCCAGACCGAACUCACACCUACGCACACCCACACCACCAUCUCGAUGUCAGCGUAGCACCAUAAUCACCACCCUCGUGGACCUCCCCUCCCUCUUCCUCCAUUUAUGUGGAGCUCCAGGGCACCCAAAUUUAGGUUAAGCAAGCUCACGGAUCUCAAGCUAGAAUCCGGCCACCCCCAACUAUGUCACAGUAAAAUCUCAGGUACCAACUUCUACCCCUCAUUUCUACCUUCAAUUCCAUAGGUAGAUCGUAGGGUUUAGUGGCCAAAUGAAGGCAAUCGAAGCUCGGGAAGCUUCGACUUUCUUCCCCGAUGAGAAACAAGUCGAGUGACCCAAGUUUGUUGAACCCAGGCCUUUUAGGCCGAGUAAAACUCGAGCCUCAAGCCCGUUAAGCCUAACCCACCUAUUUUAUUUAAUUAUUUUUUGUUAAAAACCCCAAAAGGACCAAAGCCUUUAGGCCGAGAAACCUAGGGCCCUUGGCCCGCUAAACCCUUAGCCUAAGACCAAGGGCUUCAGCCAGUGAGCUUUAAACCAAACCCAAGAAACCUAAACCAGAGGUCCAAUACCCUAGGCCCAAGCCCAAACCGGUCCAAACCCUAACCCAGCCGCGUGUGAGCCUACACGUGGCCUGCACGUAGGCGACUGCCGGUGUCAGCGCGUAAGGUGCACGCACCACCAUCCACAGCGGCGUUGACGACAACUUUGGUGACUUUUCUGGCAACCUAUGGUGGCGAUAGGGAGGCAUGUGGCCAUACCUGAGGUCACUUUUUAUGUUAUUCGACGUUCUGAACCCGAUUAUGACUUCUGUUUUCUGAAAUUCAAUCGUUUCAGUAUAGUUUUGUUAAUUGUACCCUUUAUGUGCUUAGGUGCAAUUAUUAGCAACGAUUACGUCAUUCCUACUUCGUACAACUCUUCGACGACGAAGUAUUUGUGAGUUGACCCCUUCUAAAAUGCAUGUUUUAAGUAGAAAUGCAUACAUGAAAAACAUGAUUUAAUGACUACGUUUUAUGAGAUAUUAUGCUUACUGAAAAUAUUUUGAAUUGCCAUAUUUUAUCGAACUUAUGUUCUUUGUAGAAUAGAUGAUGGAUGACUUUAUACUGCUUAUGAACAUACUUUUGCACACUUCUUCAUAGUAUAGAUGAUGGAUGAAUUUAUACUAUAAAGAUGUUUUUGAGAUACACACACACACACACACACACACACACCUAUGUUUGGAAAGUCUAUGUUCAAUGGUUUGUUUGUGCGUGUCUAGUGGUCACAUAUUGACUUUCAGGUUAGGUGCUGUAGGAGCCUUCGGGCGAUGAUACUUAUAUUAACCUUUGGGUUAGGUGUUGUAGGAGUCUACGAUACUUGUGAAGGAAGUUUAUGAAGGAAGAGUUCUAUAUGCCUUCAGGCGAUACUGAUACCACUAGUUAGCACACUAUAUACGAUAUAUGUUUUAUGAGAAGUUUUUAUUUCAUGCUAGGGUUUCAGAAAACCUACCAUAUAUUAUGCUAUUAGUUUUCAUAAAACUUUGGGGGUUAGUAUGUUGAAUAACUGUUUUAUCUAAUAUAUAUUAACUUCGUCCGCUCAUGUUUGUUUUGUGCCCCCUCAGGACAUAGGAACGAGGAAACGAUCUGAGAUACGAAGCGUUCCCCUACCAGUGAUACCGCCUCAUCCUCUCUGCUUUGACCUCUAUUGUAAUAGCACAUCUCUAGUUCAUCUUCCGCUUGUACUUUGAAAUAUAAUAUGCUCUGAACAUGUCAUGCACUAUAACUAUGUUUUCAUUGUUGGCAAUGAAUAUUAUUAUAUUAUUUUAUGUGGUUCGAACGAAAUUUAUAUGCAUGUUUCACAUGUUCUCAGCAUUUGCAUUCAUAAAUGGCUUGUGUCACCUUCGGGUGUCGGUCAGCACGUGGCCAUCCUGAUGUCCCUCAAAAAUCGGGAUCAGGGCGUGUUAACAGGUUGAUAUGUCAAAGUCCUGAAGAACUUGCAUGUUCUUUAUCAGUUCAUCACUACCUUUAAUAAAUACAAAAAUAAGUUAAGUCAGAAGUUGAGUCAUGAAAGAAAACCCCCAAAGAAAAAGCCCUAAUUAGCGUUGUAGUUAUUGAGAGCUAAAAGACAACAAUAAUACUUUUUUUUUCCUUACAAAAUGUAAUAAUAGUGAAAUAUGUAAUGCAAUACAAAUAAAACAAGACACUAAAGAAACCAAAAUCUUAACCUAAACAUUGCUUUCUGCCAUUAGAAUUUCCUUUGUUUUUUCGCAUAACAUCCUCACCUACAAUGAAGUCACUAAGAAAAGUUUUACCAUCAACACAUGAAUGCGAACAUUUAUCUUCGUCUCAAUCAACACCCUAAGAAUCAAAAGCUAGACUUUACCUUUCUUUUACAUUUAUUAGUAAGAGAAUAAAGGAAAACAGCAAAAAACAGAAUAAAAAUUUCUUUGCGAAUUCACUUCAAUUUCCAAUACCCACUACAAAAUAAAGUAUCAUUAGCGUGGGUCAAAUGCUAUCAAAAAGACAUUUUGCCAUUGCAGAUACUUACUUUCGAUGGGAAAAAGCCCUCGUUAGGCGUCAAAAACUAUCUCAUUUGAAAUAUUUUUUUUACCGACCAACCGUAAAAAAUACUUCACUUUCGAUGCACAUGACUCAUCGUUACUAGUUAUAUUUAUGUCGGAAAUGAGUUUUCAAAAUGACAAACUUAUUAUAUUUUUUACAUAGAAAUGUGGUCGCAAAUACUUAUAUAGUUGUCAAAAUUACUUUCUGAAUGAUGAUAUAUGUUUUUUGCAAUGGUUUUUAUUUUGACCAAAACGAUCGUGUAGGAAAAUCUUUUUCCAACAAUAUAUUCUUUAUUUAUGACAAUGCACAAUCAUCGCUAUUACUUUUACUAACAAUACGAGUUUGUCGAAAAUAAAUAACGGCUUGUUAGAAAUAGGCACAAAAACAUAUUUGCAAUGAUCAAGCAUCGAAAAUAUAUACUUACGAUUGUGAAGCUUUGUCGGUAAUACAUAUUUGCAAUGGCAAGCUUCGUUGGGAAUAUAUAUUUUCAACAAUGAUGCUUUGUCAAGAAUAUAUACGGCAAAGUUUCGUCAAUAAUAUAUAUUUAUGACGGUGAAGUUUCAUUGGUGAUAUACAUUCUUGAUAGUGAAGCUUCAUUGCAAAUAUAUUAUUAACCAUGUUCAAUUGUUAGAAAUGUGCACAUUAACAAGAGGGAUUUAUUAUUGAAAAUUUUAUUAUUUUAUUAUAAUUAAAAUAUUUAUUGGAAUAAAAAAGAUGAUCAAAUAGGUAUGUAAUCAUUAAUAAUAAAUUAACAAAACUAUUGAAUUAAAUUAAAAGCAAAGUCUAGACACUACUUAAAACUAAAUAAAAUAAUAAUAAUAAAAAAAAAAAGCUUCCACGAAUAAAACUAAACAAGUUUAGAUAUUUGUAAUGUCAAAAUAAAAGUGAUGACACGCAACCUCUCUUCAUGUUGAGCAUUUGACCAACUUUCAACAUUCUCCUGUCAAAUAAACAAUAAUGAGAAUACUUAAAUAAACAAGUAAUAUACUAUUCAACAGUAAGACAAACAAUAAAAAUCAAACAAAACAAUUUACCAUAGAAGCAAAUAAUCUUGAGCAUGUGGAACUAUUUGAGUUGGUUGGCAUCAAUCUUUCAACUAAUUCUAGCAAAAAAAUAAUUUAUUUGUUAAAGUGCUGACUUGGCCCUUCUAUUGCUCAUGACUUUUUUCACGUUCUAAGCACAAACGUUUAUUACAACUUUAGCUAUUUGAGGGAUAUGCAUCUUUGGUACCUAAACAAGCACUUAUACCAAGAAUACGACCAUGACAUGGCCCACCAAUCACCUCCUUGUAUAUGACUCAAUUAUUCACUUCAUUUGUUUCCAUGGUAGUAUUUUUUUGUUGUCCAUUUUUUCUUCCAAUAAAAUUAUAAUAUAUAAGUAUAGGUAAUAUAAACAAUAUCAUGUAAACAAAUGGAUUCAAAAUGUGACAACAUACAUAAAGUUCGUUGGCCUUUUUACUUGCCCAAGUUUCUUCACCUUCACUCUUACGCUUACUCAAAUGAAAUUUUUUGAAACAAUCAAUCAAGCUAGGUUCAAUUUGGAAUUUCUAGGCCCAUAUGUUUCUAAGCCAAAAUAUAUACAUAAACUUAGUUGUUAGCAAAUCCCAGCAGCCAUGAAAAAUGAAUAAAACUGAAAUUGCAUAUAAAUAUUAAUACUGAUCAUUUUAAAUUAAAUAUAGAUGCUAAUACUGAUCCUUUCAAGAAAAUUACAUGCUAUUAAUGAUCCUAGUAUUCGAAUUUCAUACCUCCAAAAUAAAAGAAAACACAAAAAAAAUUUGGAUUCCCAACAUAAAAUUGCACAACAAGGGAAAUCCAAGGUCACAAAAUCUAUAAUACUGAAAAAGAAAUGGUAGGGAACUGGAUGAAGAAGAUGUCGUUAGGGUUACCUAUAUGCUUCUUUGCUAGUUUGAUCGUCUGAACUCCAAAUAUUGAAUAUGGAGAGUUUUUUGUUGCCUGCUUUGAAGGUUGGAGGCGUUAAUAUGGAGAAUGGCAUAGAUAUAGCCUUAAUCUAAUAAAGAGCACGAUAUCUAUUUUUAGUUAUGGUUAAGGGGGAGAAUCAAAUUGAUAGUGUGCCUUGGUAUGGAGUAUUAAAAGACAUGGUUGAGCUUUGUUACACUGAAGACAAUAGAGUUGUAUUGUUCAGUUUGAUUGGUAUGAUGUAGUGCGAAAAGGAAUGGGUUAUAAGAUAGAUCAUUACGGAAUAAUUAGUAUUAAUACAACUCGCAAAUUGAAUACUAAAAAGCCAUUUGUGCUACCAAAACCAAGCCUAAGCUUUCUAUGUGAGAGAGAUUAAAAAUAAGGCUCGGAGUUAUGUGAUUGAAACAAAGCUUAGAAAUGUUAUGAGAUGCCUAAUAAUGAUGAUGAUGAGCCAUACCAAGAAGAAGAGGCGCAUAGGGGUAUUCAGGCCAACCAAAAUGAUGAUGAAAUUGUGGUAUAAGCUCUCAUACAAUCAUGAUUGUGUUCUUUUUUUGUUUGACAAUUUAGUUAUGCAAGUGAUGUAAUUAUAAUUUGUUCAAUGUCCAUGACAAAUGUUAUGAGUUAACAAAGGCAAACAAAUUGUUUCUUUGUUAUAGAAUAUUAUAUUAAGUUAUACACCUUUUUGCUCAAUGGUUUUAUUUUUAUGGUCCAACUAGUAAAUUUUACCCGCACGUUGUUGCGGGAGCGAAAAUAUAACUAUAGACUAUAUUUUUAACAUAUAAAUAACCAAAGACUAAGAUAAACAUGUAGAAAAUGGAGCAAAUAUUUUUACAAAGUUGUAUAAGUUUAUAUGACUUACAGAAAAGACAUUGUCAAAUGCCUUUUCAUUGAUAUACAAAAAUGGCUAGUCUAGUAUUCCUCAUUGACAGUCAUCCCAGUGCUUCAUUGAAGGAUGAUUUUGUGAAAACAUGUUCAUUUGAAUAACAUCUAUAGCAUGCAUUUAACAAUUAAAAGGCGGAAUCAUGCUUGCAUGCAUUCAAAAACAAAACAUUACCCAUGAAAUUCAAAGCCUAGUAGAUUGGUGAACCAAGACUCAACUCAAAACAAAGUGAGUUGAAAUUUAUACCUUUGUAGAUUCCUCUUUGCAUAAGCAAAGGCUAAUCACCCAAAGAGAGGGCCUUCAUUCCUUGCAUCUAAAAUCUAUGGAUUUGGAUGGAAGAAUAGGUUUCUCCAAGUUCCCAAAAUUGAGAACCUCUAAGUAUCUUCACCAAGGUUAGAUUGGAGAAGAAAAUGAGUGACCUUGGAGUGGUAGGAAUGCUAGAUACACCCUCCAAGGGGGCCGGCCUCUUUAGAGAGAAAGGAGAGCUUUGUGUUCUCUCCAAUUUCCUAAAAGAAACCCUUUAUGAAUUUUAGGCUAUAAAGUUCUUUAUAUAGUCACUUCUUUAAAUGACCUAAAGAACCAAAAACCCUAAUUCAACACACAUGGCCGGCCACAUAAGGGAUUUGGGCUUUUGGGCCUUUGUGAAUCUUUAUUCAUUAAAUUGUCAUACAACUUAAGUCAAUGGGCUUGACGUUCGAAGCCCAUUGGGCCUUAAGGUCCAAAACUAUCCCGAGGUCUUUAACGAACUUAUUCGUUUGAUUAAUUAACAUAUUAAUUAAUCCUUGCCAUAAAUAAUUAAACCAUUUAAUUAUUCUUACUCAUCUCCAUUGUUUCUUCAAUCUCCACCUUACACGGUGUACGAUCCAUUAGGUUCCUUUUAGCGAGGCAAUGGACGAUUAAAACUGUUUCAAAUCGAUUGUGAAUUGAAACUUACUUUCAAUUCUCCCUUUAGUGUUUAUACACGUUUAGGGUUUCCACAAACCAAGAGUGACACCUAGCAGCAUAUCAUGGUUACCCAAGCUAAUCAGAAAAGGUAGAGAACCUUUUCAGUUUAGGAUUACAAAUGCAAUACGGUCUUUCUCUAAUACAAUACUCUUGACCACAUUGUUUGGUUUGAUAGUUUAUUCAUGUCUACUAUCCAAUGUGAUUCGUGUGCUUAUAUGAUUACCUUGAAUGUAAUUUGGAACGACUUUCCUAAAUCUCAUUCAUACUCUGGCCAGAGAUUCUUAAUCAUAUCAUAGAGUAUUCUCCCCCAAACGGUUUGAAGGUUAGAGAUCUCUUGUUGCGCAUUCACUUGCCUCCAUAGCUAAGUGGCUUAACCCCAACUAUGCCGUGGAUACCCUCCUGAUGGAGUGACUUUGACAUAAUCAAAGAUCAAGGACUUAACCACAAGACAACUAUGAUGCCUCAGGUCAAAGGACUACUUUGCAUUAUCCCAACCAUGAGUUCUCAUGUGACAUGAAUAUGAGAACUCUUCGUUGAUCGUGUUCAGUGAACUCAUUCUCUAUUGAGCACCUACGUACUUGUCUUGAUGUCACACACACCAAUGACUCGGGACUAGUCACUCUCCCUGAGAGAAGACACAGCACGUACUGAUCUUAACGGACUGUCAAUGCCCAAUUGGCAAUCCUAUGAUCAGGAACGUUUAGGAUGUGUCUACGAAAGAAUGGUCUCAUGAAUCUAACUUCUUUAGAUUGCAUUCUCCCAAUCACAUAUUCCUUGGACUUAUCGUUUAAGCAUAUAACAUUUAUAUGAGACGGCUCAAACAAUAAUCUUUGCCCUUGAUUUUAAACUAGAUUAGUUUAACAUGUGAAAUGUCCGUAAAGUAUCAUCAUAUGAUUGGUUUUAGGGCACAUUCCAACAUUCAUUUGUAUAAUUACUUGAACAUGGAAUAUCCCAUAAGAGCACAUUUUCCUUUAAGCGUUCACUGCAAAUAAAACAAUUUGGAUCAUCUGGAGAAAAAAAAAAGUUACAACUGAAACAAAAUGUUAAUACAAUUGUAAUUAAUUAGCAGUAAUACUUUUACAUGAAGGAAUCGGACAGACGAUGGAAAACUACGAUAUCAAUAAAUGAAAAAAAAUUUCAACAGCCAUCAUUCAUUUAUAUAUAUGAAUAAUAAAAUCCAUUUGCAUUAGCUCUGGAUCAAGUUCAACUCAAGGCUACAAAAAUUUUAAACCCAAGAUUCAGAUAGCAUUAUUCAACCCCAAAAACCAAAUAGUACAUUUAACCGACUUAACACGAUUGAAGGCAUAAAUCAAAUCUAGGAAAUUAUACUCAACCUGCAAUGCAGAAACGAACACUGUAGCUUAUAUACAUUCUCAAUGUCCUCAGCAAGUCAUCUCUCCAAUGGCUCUGCAAUCUACAAAAGGUUUUUAGAAGAUUAUAAUUUAAAAACUGAAUCACAUAAAAUUUCUGAAAUUAGGUUGCUUCUUACCAUAGUUAUUUUAUUCUUCUUAUUGGACGUUUCAGCAAAGCAUUUGAUUGACAAAGGCUACACUGUUUCACAAAAUGAAACAACAUGAUCAACCUACAAACAAAAGCAUAUCCAUCAAGAAAAGAAGAACAUAAAAUUUUACUUUAAAAAGAAAAAACGUGAAGAUCACGAAGAUUGUUGGAGAUCGAUUCCAAAAACAAAUACAAACCCAGUAAAAUUCAGCUCAAAUUCGUGCAAUAUAAUAUAAGCCAAACAACCCCAAUUUUCUCAGGAAACCAAGAAAACCCAAGAAAACGAAAAUGUGAAUUCCAAGAUCUAAUAAAAAGCACAGUGCAAAGAUAAAUUAUAUACCUGGCCCAUAAAGGGUUUGCAAACUCCCACAACAAAACCCUAAAGUUGGAAGAUAAACGUUUCCUGCAACCAAAAACAAAAUCAGACAAAAGAUCCACACGCAAAAUAGGAAAAAAUAAAGAAAACACUUAGCAGGAAUCGAAUUUUACAACAAUCAAUUAAAAAAAUUUCUUACCAACCAAGCACAGAAUAACGGCACACAGCAACCAACGCACCCAAAUCGUUGCGAUUCCUCCGCGGAAAACAGCGGGAAAAAACAGACCAACCACCCUUCUAAACGAUCGGAUCGCGAUAAAAACAGCGAGUCACACACAGAGAAACGCAAAGAGAUACGGAAAAACAGAGAGAAGAAAAGAAAAGGAAAUGAAAAAGUGGAAGAUGCUGGAAGUAGAAGUAAAGGUGUAAUGCUCUUCCAGUAUCUUUCCUACAAAACGCAACGUGGCCAAAGCUCAACCAAAAACACCAAAAAGCACCUUUCAAACGGGAGCAACAACUGGAAACAAAAAUGAAAGAGGGGUAAAACCGGAUGGGCACUGUUAAUGAACAGUACCCAUCCGCUGAGCUUUAGUAUAUAUAGAAUAGAAUAUCAUUUUUUAUCCUUUGUGCCACAAUCCUGUGGUUGGGUUGAACAUCUGAUAUUUUUUAAUUAGUUUUUCAUCCUACAACCGAUUUUUUUAUCAUUUGUUUAUCUUUUUCUGUACCACAUAUCAUGUGUGUGGGUUUAAAAAACCAAGAACAGGUUAAAAGAAAGAAAAAAAACUUAUGAAAAGACCUUGAAAACUUUGAGUUUUAAUGAUAAGGACAAAAUAAAGGUAAAGUGAAUAUUAUCAAGUUUGACUUUUUAAUGUAAAAAUGUGAUUUUUUUGUUAAAGUGAACAGUACCGUGAGUUUUUCGUUAAAACUUUCAAAAAAAGGAAAGGCUUCACGGUCACGGAUUGUGGACACAUGGUGUAGAAGAGCACCAAACCGGCCUCACCAUUUUUAAUCAUUUUCUUUCCCUGCUCUAAUUUUUUUUAUAAAUUUUUAUAGUUUGUCGUGCCACACAACAUGUGGCCGGAUUUAAUUCAUAUUUUUUAAUAUAUUUUUUGCCUGCCAUCAGUUGCUUUAAACACGAUGACAGAAGAAUGGCCUAGGAGGGCAAUGAAGUCAUUUUACUGUGGAAAAGAUGGCAAAAAAGUGGCUUAACAAAGGAAUUGAGGGGCAUUUUGGUCCGCGCACUGUCCGUGAACAGUACAACGUGGUUGGGGUUUUAGUAUAGGUAUAAUGUUCUACAUAUGUAUCCUAAGUUAUAUGAUAUAUUUAUUGUAGAAUAUUAAAUUAAGCAUUCAACUUAUUUUGAGAAUAUUCCAAUGACACAUGUGACCAAUUGGUAAAUGGUUGAUUCCAAUAGAACCAUAUGUCUUUUAAAAAAUUAUUCUGACAAAGAAAAGAUAUUGUCUGAAAAAGUAUGAUCACUUCCGACAACAACGAAUCACACUUGAAAAUAUAAAAACAUUAUCGAGUGGACUAUUUUUUCCUCGAAAAUAUUAAAUCAAUUUUGUCAAUGUGAGCAAACCCUUGGUAAUAACCAUUAUAUUUCCAACAAGAAAUUUGUUUGUCAUUAAUGCAACUACGCCAUGUCUUUGCACCAAAAUGUGAGACAUGUUUCGAGGACAUUAUUAUAUGUGUCAGUAAUAAAGUUAAGUUUAGUGACAUGUUACCGACAACCAAUAUUCUAUGGUCGAAAUAUGUACUUCUUACAACGAUAUUUUUUAGACCCUCAAAAAAUCUUCGUUGGUAAUGAUCACUUUUUUUGUAGUCACCACAUAUAACUUAACGCAACUACAGGGAGGAAACCGAAAAGAAAAAAAAAAUCACACAUUUUAAAAUUGUCGAUGCACAUACGUAUCAAUAAAGUACAUUCUUUAUUUAUUUAUUUAUUUAUUUUUAGUUUGAAGUUUGAAUUCAAAUCACAUAUGCCGCAAGCAACCGAUACAUUCACUGGAAACAAAAGGUUGAGAUUUUUACCUUCCAGUUCAGCAACGACUACCAACACAACAACCCUAAUUCAAAUGUCAACCCCCUUCUUCAAUAGAACAACUAUGUUACACAAAUGUAUCAAAUUAGAAUCAAACUAAUGAGAUUGAAGCCAGAAUUAUCUAUUCUAAAGUAGGGGGUCUAAAGUAGGGGGAGGGCAGGCACUAUUCACGUUUGUUUUGAUUUUGCUUUAUUUACAACAAUGCCAGCCGAAUGUGGCUGGGUUGGGAGGUAAUUCUCAAAAAUUCAGAGGGUGAUUUUGUCUUUUGAGGUCAAUUCCUCCCCCCUCGAUUUUGCUUUAUUUACAACAAAACCGUGGGAUUUGGGGCUGGGUUGGAACGUAGUUAUUAAAAGUUAGGAGGGUAAUUUUGUCCUGUGCAUUUGAGACGGAUUGGGGUGGGUUUGGGUUUGCUGUCAUUCAGUGCAGGUUUCGGGGAUGGCAGGCUAUGCUUCCUCUAAGAGAUGGAUAGAGACAGACGGAGCGAGAGAGAGAGGGAGAGGAAGGAGUGGGGAUCUCAGCACCAUUGCUGCAGAUCCUCGAUUUCAUGAGUGGGAGUGAUGUUUAGAGAUUUUUUUCCCACUUUUUGAGGGACGGAUGGACAGGGAGAGAGAUAGGGCAGAGAGCAUGCUGUGUGUUUUUUGGGGUUAACGGGUUACCCCACGGGGUUGGUGAGCAGAGGAUGUCUGAGGGAGGUAUGGGAGAGGAGAGGGUUUUCGGUUUUGUCCUCUGAUUCAACAGGUAAAACACUGUUUAGAAAUUAUUGUUCAUUGUUUGUUUCUCAUUUGCUUUGUUAAAACUGUGAUUGACAUUUUUUUGUUUCAAUAAAAUUGUAAUGGAUGUUUAUAGCCUGUUUAGUUGGGUGUUAGGAGGAUAGGUCUGUUUAGUGCACUGUUUUGUACACUGUUAGAGUCAGGUUUGUGUCUUUUAAACUUAGGUGUUGCACUAUGCUCAUUUCUGUUUUCUUCGUGCUUUGCUGCUGUUUCCUUCUCAACAAGUCGAAUUCAGGUUCCUUUUCUGCUUUUCAUCCUUUGAAUAUCCCUCUGUUGCUGGGUUGUUUCUCCAUGUUUUGUUGCUUCCCUAUUUAUGAUAAGAGUGUUAGAAGGCUGUUUCAUUUAUUGUUUUGCUCUUCUGUUGCUAGGUAGUAUAAUUUUGAAACAAGGUUCUUCUCUGUGUUCAAAUGCAUCAUUGUUUUUUGUUCUUCAGUUUCUUUUUCAUCAUUAGCUAUCUUAUGAUGGUUGAUGGUUUAAUACCACUUGGGAAUUCACAUGCCACAACAAUAUUAAUUUCCAAGGUCCCCUGUUUGCAGCUUUAGCACGGUAAAACUUUAGUCUGAUUUAGUAUUGUGCUUUAGAGUGAACUUUGAGUAUUGACGUAGGUGCAUGCAAGUAGUCAAACCACGUACAAAGUUUGGUGUUCACGUUCUUUGAUUGUAUUCCUAAAUUUGUGUUGGAUAUGCAAUUAUAUGUUUGAAUAUAUGUAAUCUUAGUGGUUAAGACGGGUUAACAUGUAAAUGUGAAUGAGUAAUAGCUUCUGCUCUUAUGAUCCAAUCAUGCAAUUUAUAGAGGAUGUUUGUCAUAGAAUAGAUCAAAUUGAAUAGGUUUGGUAGUGAAGGCAGAUAUAGGUGCUGAAGGAAGAUGUUACUGAUUCAUCAGUGUGUGUUAAGCUCACCACAAACAGGAGUGAGAGGAAUGCUCAUAGCUUUGGACUUAUUGAAUUGUUUUCCUUUAGGUUUGAAAAGAGAUGUAGUUGAUGUGCUAAUUUCUGUGUUUAUUCUUGCUUUGCUGCUGUUUUCUUCUCAACAAGUCAAAUUGAGGUUGCACUGUGCUCAUUUCUGUGUUUCUUCAUGCUUUGCUACUGUUUCUAAUAUGAUUUAGCUAAUGCAAAACCUUUAUAUUGAUUCCCAUUGACCUUUAUUUCAUAUUGUUUCCCCCUUUAAUUUUAGGUCAAUGCAGCAAGAAGGGCAGGAGCUCAUGGUGUAAUUGUUGGAUGCGCUUCGUGUAAUACGUAUGUGAUAUGAUAAUUUGGAUUUUCUUUUUCCUUUUGGUAAAUUGCUGCAAGAAUUUUCAAAUUUGGUUAUACUGUACAUAGUUCAGGUCUCUAUCUUAUGACCCUUAUAUUUUUGUUUCAUUUUUGUGUAUGCGUGUGCAUGUAAUUCUAGCCCUUCGAGUAAAACUAGAACUCAUUCAGUGGAGUUUUAGUUUCUUAUCAAAGAAUCAAAUGAAAUCUUCAUGUGAAAACAAGUGAUUAAAUAGAAGAUGAAAACGUGAAAGAAUAAAAUUAGGGGUACCUGAUUUCUGUGAAAUUUGAGCAGAGUGUUUGCAGGUGGGAAGAAUGAAACCACUUAGGUUGAGCUUUUCUGGUCUAAGAGUCUUAUCCAAGAAAAGAACACAUUUUCCCUCCACUGUUAUUUAGCUUACAACAUCUCGCAUCAUGUAAGUCUAUCUGCUGCCCUUGAACCAAAUGCAUCUUGCAUUGCCAAGGAAGAAAUUUACUGGAAAGUGAAAAAUCAAGACUUGAAUGAAGACUAACUACUAGCUUUAAUGAUUCCACCAUAUUAAAUUAUCCCCAACAUGUUGGGUUUUAAGAUUCAUGUUAACUUUAGUUUGGGUUCUUAUAUAUAUAUAUAUGGAAUUCUAAUAGUCCUCUCUAGCAGUGUUAAUUUGUGACUCCAUAGUUGACUGACAACGGCUGUACAUUUUUCAAUAGACCAUGGCAUGCUUUGGGACAUGUUGAUUCUGUAGUUUAUGGAGCACGAGUACAUUUUGUCUGGCCGGAUCCAAUGUGGUUAGCGCAGAUCUCCCUCCCUAUUGUAGAAAAUCCGUACUUAACAAUGUCAUUGUACCUUGAGUUAAAAUAAAAUUGUAGAUUUGGAUAAUCACGUGGUAGAGAUGGAAAAGGAAUAAGGCAACGGAAAAUAGACACAUCAAAACAUGCAGAACUUUAAACAAAUUACUGUAUAUUAAAAACUAUUGUCACUCCAAUCGUGAUACAACAACUAAAGGAUCAGAGUGACGUCCAGAACUUUUAACAUCCUGCUUUGCAAGAUAAAGAUGUGUACCUAACCUAUGGUAGUUAAAACCGAAUCAAGUAAAUAAUGUACAGGUAAAACAAUGAAGCAUAAAGGGGUAAUUUUGUGAGUACCAGAUGUUGCUCAGGAUUAUGCUGAAUACGUACAGUGGGUAGAACCAAAUUACCUGCAGAGCAAAAAUAAAUAAAUGAAAAUAAGCAAAAAUGAUAUGUUCUGUGAAUUCAGAAAAUAAUUGAAUCCCUUCAGUAAUUGGGGCAUCUACAAUGAUAUGUUCUGCUUUACAUCCUUUGAAUAUCCCUUUAUUGGUAGAUUGUUUCUCCAUGCUUUAUUGCUUCUGUAUUUGCGUGAGAAGGGUGUUAGAAGGCUUUUUUACUUAUUGUUUUGCUCCUUUGUUGAUGGAUUGUUUUUGCAAUUCUUGCUUCCUUAUGUAUUUGUCUGAUAAAUUUUUAAUUUUUUUCUUGACAUGUAUGUAGAUCAAACACAAGUCUUGACAAUUGGUUGUAGGAAGCUCUCUGUACUCAAGGUAAACAAUUUCAACUUUUUACUUCUAAACCGUAGCUCUUAGGGUUUAUUCACCCAUGUAAUUUUCAGUCAAAUGAAAUAAUUGGCACUGCAAGCUUUUAAGUAUGGAGGGAUGUUUGAUUAUAUGAUGCAAUGUGAUGAACAAUUUUGUUGUUUGAGCUUAUAUUGGAACUGAGUUUUUUUCUAUUUAGUGUGCGUAUCAAUAUUUGUCCAUUUAUGUCAGGGUUGAGAUAACUAAUCAUCCAUUUGGUCAUUUUACCUUAGAAUGGAACUAGGCUUUUUUUUUAUUUUGUGCACGUGUCUGUAUCUCUCUAUUUAUGCAAAGCUUGAGACAACUUAGCAUGUAUUUGUAACAAACCCCGUUCCAAUUGAAUGGUUGGUGUAUUUGUUCCAAACGCCAUUCGAAUUGGAUGAUUGGUUUAUUUGUUCUAAACCCCAUUAGAAUUGUAUUUGCUUGGCUGGUCUAUUAGUAUAGGGAUAGUUAGAUUAGGGAUUUUGUUUUGCCAUUUUGUGAUUGAGAUCUAAUUACAGGUUUUGUGUUGCAAUUCUCCAUGUUUUGCUGUCUGUCUUGUCUGUGUAGUUAGUUUGGAUUGUUUUUAGAUUCUUAAAUAGUGCUGCUUAAUAUUGUUUGUAAGGUUAUUUUCUUUAUCAAACAUUUUCCAAAAAAAAAAAAACUCUCCCAAAUGACAAACUACAGGCUAUUUAUAGCACAAUAAAUACAUGCCUUUGUCUCUAUUAAACAUUUUUAUCGGCUUCAGGUGAUUAAAGCCAUGUAGAAAGCAAAUUUAUAGGAAGCAUCUCCAUUGAUUAGAUUUAAAUAAAAUCAUAUGCAUCUCCCUCAAUCAAAUGACACUUAUUAAAGACCAUGCUUAGAAAAGAAAGCAGCCAAAUUUAUCUUCCUAUACAAUGGGAGACCAAAACUUAGAAGCAACUAGUAAGUUUCUGAUACUAUUACAUGCUUUGUCCAUGACUACAUCAUCUUAGGAUCGCAUUAGAUUAUUAUAUGGUUAACUGGUAAGUUUCUGAUGCUAUUACAUGCUUUGUCUCAUGGAACCACAUUGCGUUUUAGGUUCAGGGUGGAGUUAUGACAAAAUUAAGCAUUACUACAAACAACGAAGGGGAAAUAUAAAAUAUCAUGGAAAAAAUUCUCAGCAGUUUUUUUAAAACAAACUUGAACUUGCAGUGCUGUACUACACCAAAACCAAAACAAAUCUGCAGAAGUGUUUCACAUUCUGCAUUGGUAAAAGGGUUUAAUUUGAAUAUCUUUUUCUUGAGUUGCUUUGCACAAGCCUCACAGUGCAUGUUAACUUCGAGUUCUGCAGUUACCGCUCUAUUAACCUGAAGCAAAAAUAAACCCGCUUUAUAAGUCCACUGUUUUAACAAAUGUAAUUUUCUUUUCCGGUGCUUUCCAUUUCAGACAAUGCGACUUUAUGAACUUUUUAUUUGAUGUUAAGUUUGAUCGACUUAUGUUAUUCAUUUGGUUUUGGCUUUGUUUCUCUUUUUUUCUUCUCUUUGUGAUCCUCUGAUUAUCCAGACAUUUUCAUACCUAAGAUUUUAUAUUAUCAUCAUUUUGUUCAAAUGCACCAUUUCCUUUUUUGUUUCCCUUCUCUCAUCUUGCAAGCACUCAUGAUGUUCAUUUCCUUUUAAUUUUGGUUAAUGCCGGUUUUGAAAUUUUUGAUGAUCGUUUUCAUAUUUCUAUAAAUUUUGACAGAAAAUACGAUCUGAAAAAACACAUUUGUCUCUAAGUAUAAAUUACAUUAGUCUAAUUAUGGCUAUGAUAAAAAACCAUGUGAUCAACUAUGGUUUGCUUAUACUGCAAUUUCAAUUUGGGAAUUGAAUUUAUUUACAGAAUUAUGAUCCUUUUUAAAAUUUAGAAAAGAACAUGUUAAAAGACCAAUUUUCUUUACAAGAACUUGAAUAAAAAGUAGACCAUGAGAGUAAACCAACCAACAACGAUUAUGGUGAUUCAGUAAUUUAAACGUGAACUAGCUUUGAGAGUCAUACUCACCCAUUGUCGGUUUUCCUUUCGAGCAUAUUUCCUAUCCAAAGUUUCCCAAACUGUGUUCUCAAACAGCUGCAUUGGCAUGUAUUUCCAACUUCUAAUAGUCUUUGGUCCCCAUACUUUCCAGAAUUUGUUUUGGAUCUUGAUAAUAGUUGCUAUAUUGCUUGGAAUUGUCAAUGAUUUCAGUUCUUCGUUUUCUUUUCUCUGAUAGAUUAUUGUUUUUCAAUUUAAAUUUUACUCUUUUCCAACUUAGAGUGUUUCAUUGAAUAAAUGAUACAUAUUUUUCUCGAAGUCAUUUCAUUGUUUGUUUUCCUUUGGAGGAUUGUUGUGCUUCGGUUAGUACCAUUCAGGUUUGUCCAUUUGUCAAUCAUCACUGCUCAUGUUUGUGAAUGUGUGGCAAAGCAUUGGUGAUGCAAUCUGUCUAGACAAAAUAGAUAUCGUCUUUUAAAGUUAAAUAUGCUCCACUUUCUGCAAAAAAAAAAUGGCAAAAUGGUUAACCAUCUAUUGGCAAAAACUAAUUAGUGACAUCUUGAUCAACCUGCACAUAUUGCUAUCUGGCCACUAAGCAUUAUGUUUGGGGCAUAGGGUGCAUUUUCUAUGGUAUGGGGUAUCCGGGAGAAACUGUUUCAAGAUUAGGAUUUUGUUUGUAAGAUUUGCAGAGAGAUGGGGGUGUUAUAGUUUUUAUGUUUAAUGUUUUGAGACUCACCCUUUAUUUGGUGCACUUUCACAUAUUGAGUCCGUUAUACCAUAACGAUUUAAGUUACUCUUAUUGUAUCUGUUUGUUUGCACUUCGAAUUCUUAAUCACAGUCUCAUUGCUUUUUUGUAGUUUAGAUCGGGCUCGCAUCGUGGAAUCAUAAUCUGCUCUUGCUGCUGCCUUUAAUGAAGGGGUUCUGAGCCAUUACAUUUCAAUCAAGCCUUUGGUAUGUCCUGAACUCGAAUACGUUGUUUCCCAUGCUUUCCAUUUCAAACAAUGUGAUUUUGUAAUUUUUAAAAUGACUGUUUGGUUUUUUUUUUCGGCUUAUAUUAUAUGUUUGUUCUGUGCUUUGUUUCUCAUUCGUGGUUAUCUUUGUGACCUCUGAUUGUCCAGAGGUCCGAUAGUUCUUUCUUUUUUUUGGUUUAAAUUUUGUCUAUGCAAUUUUGUUAACAACUGCAAUUACUUUGGUUGGUCGAUGUUUUCGUUAGGUUUUUCUGGUAGUCAAUAUCUCAUCCUCCCUGAAGUGCUUUAAUAAGUACUAUUAACAACUGCAAUCUCUCAACAAACUAGACAUAUUUCCAAAAAAAAAAAUCACAACUUCCAUAUUUAAAAUUUUGAAAUUUUUAACUGUGUUAUUCUAAAGACCUACAAGCUAAACAUAUUUUUCUAAAAAUUAUAAAUAUUAACGCUAUAUUUAAUUUGUGAUUCAGGGUAGAUAAAAUGGUGAAAGAGAUUGAUCGAAGCGAACAACAAAUUUUAGGAGGAGUUUUGGUUAAAAAUUUAAAGAAACUGAUUGAGGCUCGAAACAAUGAAAAGAUUCGAGGAACAAAACAGAUAUAUAGAGAAACUGCCCCAGGACCCAGUACAAAGAAAGCAGUGAAAAUAGAAAAAAAUAAGGAUGGGUUUGCGUGUUUAUGGUAAAGGUGGAAACCGAAACAAAUUGGUGGUUCACAUUAUCCAUUCACCUGAAAAUCGUAGUAAUUCGCCAAAAGAACAAGUUCCGUUGGAUGAAGAAGUUUAACAUUUUUUUUGGGGGUUUUUUGGUGGGAUCUAGGCUAGCCCGCAGAACAUAUAUUUUGCCAUCUUAACUUUAAGGCCAAUUUAAAUGUUAAAUGCAUGUUGCUCCUAUUUGUUAGGGAAACAUAGCAUGUUUUUCCAGUUAUAUCUUUUGUAAUAAGCUUGGUUGAAUAUAUGUAAAAGCGGAACUACUUAUCUUACCGACACCGUUCACUCAUAUAUUUUUUUUUUUCGUUCAUGAUUGUGUUGAAUUUUUUUUCAUGUUGCAUGUGUUUAAUUCAUGUGGUUAAGAUUCGUGCAUUCAAGUCCCGUAGCAGAUGAUCCUAUUGGUCUUUUUCUUUGCACGUCCAAUCUCGCCUGUUAUUACACUGUUACCUGAGUGUUCCAGCAGAACAAAACGGAUUCCUGCACCUCCUUAAACUAUGCAUUAGAAGAUUUUCACAACGACACUAAGAAUAAAUAGGACAUGAUUAGAACUUCUAAAAAUUGAGUCUUUCAGAUAAUAUAUUCAACUUUAUUCAAUUCAAUUUAAAAUGUACAAUCCCCGAAUCUAAAAGAUGGUGAGUGUAUUUCUUUCAUCAUCAUGAAAACUUCUUUUCCCCAAAAAUUGUUCUGCUUCUGUAAUUAAGGCGAAAGAGAAAUAGAAUUGCCACAAACACUGCUAUGUCAUCAGGUCUAAAUCUUUAAGACAUAAUUACGUUGGUUUAGGAAAAGUUUAGGACAAAGUUAAGUCUUCGUUUUUCAAAAAUCAGAAAGGUGACAAUGGAGUAAGGGUGUAAGUGUUGCCCAGGAUCAAGCAAAAUGAGUGAUACAUUUAGCAUUUACACACUAAAGUAGGCCAAAAGUGAAAACCGAUUAGUAAAGAUUAUGAUAAUUCACUAAUUUAAACAUAAACCAGCUUUGAGAGUGAUACUCACCCAUUGUCGGUUUCCCUUGCGAGCGUAUUUUCUACCCAAAGUUUCCCAAACUGUUCUCAAACGACUGCAUCGGCAUAUCUUUCCAACUUCUAAUAGUCUCUGGUGCUAGAACAUUUUCUAACUUCAUUCUAAAAAAAAUAGAUUCUUAAGUAAAGACAUCUAAAACCAGGUAAGUAAGCAGUUUAAUGAGGACGAAAUUCAAAAGUAGACCCAAAUUGUUAGAUAUUCCUUGGGAGUAAGCAUUGUUCGUUUUUAAUCGCAAAUGGUAGCUGAAAUUAUCUUAUUUAUUACCACCAUUGAUUUGAAUUUGUAAUACACAAUGUUUAAAUCAUUUGAUCGUCAGUCAGUUAAAUUUAAUACUGGUGGUUUGGUUGUGAUCAAAUUGAUCCAAUCUCAAAAAGUGUGACAUGUGAGGUGAUAACGGACUAACAGAGGAGAAUAAGUUGAUACAUCUGUGUUUGAUUUACAAAUUUUGGCAAAUUCUUGCCUUUUUUUUGGUUUCAUGUUGACAUAUAUCUGUCUUCUUAACCAAGUAGCGAUAACUUGAGUUUCUAGAAGUUUUAAUGAGUGGUUUAUUGAAUUGAUUUGGACGUGUGGUUUAUUCAAUUCGAAUUUGGAUAUGUGCUAAUUUGAAGAACUUGACAAAAUCUGAGGAACCUUAUUCACUAUUUGGCCAUUACAUAAAACAUCAACAUAAUUUCCCUCGCUUUCGCUGAUUCUCUGUGAUUAAAGUCUAGAAAAAUACAGUGAAAAAGACGCAACUUUUUUAUGGGAUUGACAAUUUUCGGAUUCAAAAUAUUCCUAAAUUUUUUUUGUUUUGAUUUUUUAGUGUCUUUGGUCAUUUAGCUAAAAUUUCAUUAGCUUUCGUCUUUAAAUUUGAAAGUCUUAGGGUUGCUAAUGGAUUUACUUUUUGCAUAUUUCAGAAAUUUGGACCGCUGGAGGAAGAAGUUGGUUUCUUGAUGUUUUGAGGUAUAUAAUUAUGUGCCAUCAUUUUUUUCAAAGCCUAAUUAGUUUUCUACCUUUUUUUAUUUAUAUUCGUGAAGCUUUCAUGCUUGGAUUUUAAAUAUAUGAUUAAUUUUUGUUCAUUUUAGCUUAUAUUGGAACUGAGUUUCUUUCUUUUUUAUGUGCGUAUCUGUUAUCUAUCCAUUUAUGCGAAGGUUGAGUAACUAAGCAUUUAUUUGGUGGUUUGAGCCUAGAAUGGAAUUGGGCUUCUUUCUAUUUUGUGAACGUAUCUGUAUUUGUCUAUUUAUGUAAAGAUUGAGAAAACUGAGUAGUGGGUGUAUUAGUUCCAAACGACAUUCAAAUUGGAUGAUUGGUUUAUUUGUUCUAAACCCCGUUACAAUUGUAUUUGCUUGGAUGGGCUGUAGGUAUAGGGAUAGUUAGAUUACGAAUUUUGUUUUGGCAUUUUGUGAUUGGGAUCUAAUUCCAGGUUUUGUGUUCAUGUCUCCAUGUUGUUUUUGUUCUGUUUAUGUGGUUGGUUUGGGAUCUUAUUGUCCAAUGGUUGGACGGUUGGUUUGUUUUUUUUUUUUUUUCUUUUAAUUUUGUUUGUGUGAUUCUGUUAGGGUUGAAGGUGCCUUGCUAACUCUCUUAUUCUGGUUUAGGCCAGCAUUGUAGCUUUUUUUAUCAAACGUUGUUAGACAUUUCAUCUCUGUGAUUCUGUUAUUGGUUGGUUGGUGUUUUAAUUGGGUUUUUUUCAAUAGUUAACUAUUUCAUCAUUCCCGAAUUACUUUAACAUAUGCUGUUCAUAACUGCACUUUCUCAACAAAUCAGAUUUUUUUUUUUUAAUAAAAAAAACCCAUGUCUUAGAAAAUGAGUUGCCUUUUAACAACGCAUGAAUACAUGUUAGAUGAAAUAGUUAUACAGAGAAAUUAUCUACUCUAUUUAUUUCUACUAAGCAAUAUUUCUUUGCCGAGAUUAUGUCCAACUUUAGCAUACUUGAAGCCGCUAUGCUAUGCCAUCAGCUGCUUCUAAUUUUCUAAACAGUUAAUACUAUCUUAAAAUUGAAAUUAUGAUUCCUUAUAAUUGAAAUGCUAAUGAUUCGAACCUCAUGACUGAAUUAUUAUAGCUCUGUAAGACUUAUACUAACAUGAAUAAAAGUUGCUGACAUGCUUACCAUGUUAACUCAUAUCCAUUUGCUACUAUUCUCCUGCUUAUUUGAAGACGUUAAGAGUAGUGGAAGAAGAUAAAGAGCUUGACUUAGUGAUCCUGUUUCCUUUACAUGAGGAAAGAAACAUAAUAAAAGUUAAUCUUCCUAUCAAUUUCCAGUUCAUUAUAGCGUUGGCCGAGGCCUCUUGCAGUUUACUCAACAUUUCACUUAGGCCUUAACCUUUGGUAUUCUUCGUUGAACCAAAUUAGUUCUAUUGGAUUCAAAAUAUAUGUAAUUUUUUUUUUUUUUUUUGGUGUGUCUUUUUGGUCAUUUGGCUAAAAUUUCAUUAGAUUUGGUCUUUAAAUUUGAAAGUAUCUGAGUUGCUAAUGGAUUUACUUUGUUUGCAGAUUUCAUAAAUUUGGAUCGUUGGAGGAAGAAGUUGGUUCUAUACCGUUUUGAGGUAUACAAUUAUACGCCAUCGCUUUUAUUCAAAGCUAAUAAGCUAUCUACCUUUUUUUAUUUAUAUUUGUGAAGCUUUCAUGUUUGGAAUUUAAAUAUAUAAUUCAAUUUUUGUCGUUUGAGCUUAUGUUGGAACUAAGUUUCUUUCUAUUUAGUUUGCAUAUAUGUAUCUGACCGUUUAUGUCAAGAUUGAGAUAACUAAGCAUCCAUUUGGUCGUUUGAGCUUAGAAUGGAACUUGCCUUCUUUCUAUUUUGUGCAUAUGUCUGUAUGUCUCUAUUUAUGAAAGCUUGAGAUAAUUGAGCAUGUAUUUGUACCAAACCCGUUCCAAUGGAAUGGUUGUUGUAUUUGUUCCAAACACCAUUCGAAUUUGAUGAUUGGUAUAUUUGUUCUAAACCCCAUUACAAUUGUAUUUGCUUGGAUGGGCUGUUAGUACAGGGAUAGUUAGAUUAGGAAUUUUGUUUUGCCAUUUUGUGAUUGGUAUCUAAUUACAGAUUUUGUGUUGCAUGUCUCCAUGUUUGAGUGUAUGUCCUGUCUGUGUAGUUAGUUUGGGCUGUUUUUAGAUUCUUAAAUAGAGUUGCUUAAUAUUGUUUAUAAGGUUAUUUUUAUAACCGGAGGAGCAGGGGUACUGUAGCAACUGAACUUAGAGUUGUGAACAUAACUGAAUUGAUAGGUAAGAAAAGUAGUGGGAGAACUUCCAUGGGUAAGAAUAAGAUCGCCAUUUUUUGCAUCCUCUUAGCUCAAUUUGGUAGUUAGAUGUCCAUUAAAGACACAGUCAAGGUUUAGAUUCAAUGUGUUUUGUGUAAUUUUGUUUUUUAGUAUUAAACAAGCAAGAAGCCACCUUUCAAGGACUGAAGCAUAUGUAAGAAAAUAUGUAAAACUGAAAACCAUUUAUAAUUAAAAAAAAAAGGACGGAUUAACUAAAGAAAAGUUAAAAAAAAUUAUCUUCCCCAUAUAUUACUCAUGAUUCCGACAUGCCUUACGGUUAUACAAAAAACAUAGGUCAUAAAGAUGUUCUAAAACAUUUACAUGAAGAUAUAAAUUUGCAUUUUUAUUUUGUCAUUUUGUUUAUUUUUCUAAACAUGACUCCGCCGUUACUUUGAUAAAUCAGCUUAUUAAGUUUUCAAUUUAAUUUGCUUCUCAAUUUUUUUCUAUCUAGAUUCAUGGAGAUAAUGUCGCUUCAUUCUCUAAGACCAUACCAGCCAGCAAACAAGCUCCAAAUCAGGGUUUGCAGGAUGUGGAUCACAAAAACCAUCGAAGAUGAUCCUCAGCCACAGAGUCUUGAUUAUGUGUUUGUUGAUAAACAGGUGAGAAUUUUUCAUCUUUUUCGUUAUCGUAAGAUGCUUACGUUUUUUAUGUAUCCAAGUGUGCAUGCUGUGUUCUUGGUACAACAAAUUUUGUGGUCAAACAUUCUCUAAAGUUUGGGAACUAAUUGCUCUAUGCAAUUUGUUGCCGAAUUAUACAUCACUUCCACAUGAUUAAUGUUUGUGUGGUUAAUUGUUCUAUUGGAUUCAAUCAUGGGCCUUGAUAUCAAUUUUUAAACCGGGCCACUACAUUCAUGCAAAUCCAAAAGAAAUCAAAAUUCCAUCUUCUCCAUAUAAUGCCAUGUGAUACAAUAAAUUUUGUUCUUAGAAAAACAAAUUUUAGACUCUGUUGUUGACACUUUUGCUCUCUUUGCAUUUCACUAUAGAGAUUAUAUUUAAUUAUGCUCAAACAAAUUUUUUUACAUAUGUAAACAAAACUAAGUAGAGUCCAUCAAUUCUUCUUUUUCUUAAUUUGUUUUGUUUCUUUUUUUUUUACCCACAAAAAUAUAAUUCAAACUUUAUUUAUAAGUUUGCUUCAAUUGCUAUCAUUUCGAUUCAUAAAGUAAUCUUUACUGUUGUGGUGUAUUUUAUCUUAAAUGCUGCCUCUGUGGCAAGAAUUAUGCUAUCCUCACUGUUUUUUAGCUUCUUAAACCGCAUGUGUUAAAUGUUCUCCUGCACAUUUAAUAAUCUAUAUUAUUUUAAUUUUCUCCUUCUAACAGGGAGAUGCAGUUCACGCAACUGUGAAUGCUCGAGACAUUCAAUUUUUUUUGGACCUUCUGAGAGUCGGCGAUGCAUACGAGAUCACUAAAGUUCGUGUUGUUUACAACAGGACAUCGAGCAAAGUUGUCCCUCAUCCUACAGCGCUUGAAUUAAAUAGGAGAACCACAUUCGUUCCAAUUGACAAAACAAACCACGAGAUCCCAAAGCAAUGGUUCAAUUUGAUUGACCUUGAUCAACUUCAUAAGAGAAUCAACAACGAUGUUGAGCUUACAGGUAACAAAUUUGGUUUUGCGUGUUGCACUAACAUCUAAAAUUAUCAUUAUAAUUUAUUCAUUGCCUUUGGUGCGCAAUAAUUUUCACCGCUAAAUAUUGUUCGUAGAUGUGUUUGGUUAUUUAACGGCUGUGCAGCCGAUUGAAGACGUGACUGUCCAAAAGUCAAGAAUUGCAAAGAAGAAGAAUCUUAACUUGCAAGAUAUCAGGUCAUUCCUAUGCGUUAAGUUCAAAUUACGCACAUAAAACGUCAUAUUUAUGACAUAAAACAUCACAUUUUUUUAAACUUACAGGGGCGAAACAAUUAGGAUCACCUUAUGGGGAGAAGCUGCAACAACUUUUGAGGACAGUGGAAUAAAAUCCCUUCCACCACCUAUCUUCGCUGCUGUAACAAGCCUCAAAGUCAAAGAAUACCAAGGUUGUACCUCAACAUCCUUUAUUUAGCUGCUUAAACCUUCAAUUGUUCAUUCUUAUGUUUUAUAUAUAGGAAACCCUGUUCUUGGAAGCACUGGAUCAACUAUUUAUAUUUUCAAUCCAGAGAUUCCGCAGCUCACCCAAUACAAACAAAAGUAAAUUGACAACCUUCCUUCAAUAACUUUGUUGUUUAUAUUUCUUCAAUUUGUCUUUUUCAACCUAAACAUACAUGACACAGGUUUAAGGAUCUGAGAUCACCUGUUCAAAUCUUGCGCACCUCAGCUGUAAUGUAUGCAAACCGUGCUGUUGGUCCUAAUUUUGAGUCCAAAACAAUUGAGGAGCUCCUUCUACUUGAUCCUGCUUUACACAAAGUUAGUCUCUCAUCACCUACUUAUUAAGAAAAAUCACAUCUUUUUUAAUAAUAAAUUUUAGAACUUCUUUCUUGGCUAUCUCUUGCUUUCUACUUUAUUCAUUUAUAUUUCAUGUUUACAAGACGAUGAGUAAAUGUAUUUCAUUAUUUAAAAUUGUGUGAUUCCAUAACAGAAUGCAAGUUUUGCAUGCAAAGCGACUGUCGUUAGAUUUGAUUUGACUAGAGGUUGGUGGUACAAGUCGUGCCCAUUCUGCCAUAAAGCUGUCAAAAAAACUUCCGGAUCAUUUCAGUGCAAUGAACAUGGUUUAUUAAACAGGUUACCUGAACCAUGGUAAUCUCUUUUACACCUCUUUUACAUAUAACUGUUGUAUUAAGCUGCUUAGUCAUUUUUAAAUUUCUUGCAAUUAUAAAAUUUAUGAUUGAUGAUGUUUUUAUGGUUAUCAUCUUUUUCACAACAAGAAGAUUUAAUGCAUGACAAAGCUUCCUUUACAUAUGUCUUUGCACUUAAUAAAGAGAUUGGUAUCCAUGUGUUAAAAAGCUGGCUUUUUUUGCCUCUAAUAUACAUAUGAAUGGAAGUGUCUUUUGUUGACCAAAGUUUUGGAAUGCUCAUGGACUUUCGUUCAAAGUUGUUUUUGUAAACAAAACGUCUUUGUAUUUGGAUCACAACUAAUUGGUUAGAUAGGGUAAUUAGUCAGAAAGGUAUUAGAUUAUUGAGAAAUGAAUGAGAAAGUUGCAUCUUAACUGCAAUGAUGUGCUCAUUGUGGCUACUUUUCUAAUACGCAAACAUAUGGUUCCUGUGCUAUUUUACUUCAAGAAUGGUAGUGAUAACUGCCUAACAUGAAAAUAUCCAACUCUUCCUUAGGUUCAAAAUCAAUAUUAUAGUGGAAGAUAGCACAAAUCAACACAACUUCCUCAUGUUAGGAAGGCAUGCUGAAAAGAUACUUCAUGUUUCUUGCCACACUAUGGUAAUAGAAGAUGGAUAUGACGAUCCCUUUAUCGUGCCACCGCCUCUAAAAAAAUUGGAGGGAGAGACAAAAAGAUUUUUGCUAUCUUUUGGCAAUCAAAACAGUGAUUUUCGGAAGACGGACUUUAUCAUUUAUGGAUUGCUUCAAGAUCAGCUGCCCUUGAACCCAGCGACUGCCUCUAUUUACCCGCAAAAGCCUCCUGCCACUACAGGAAAACAAAUUAUAAGUGAAGCGACUCCCGCCCCAGUGAUGCCUUCCCUGCAAUCAGAUCGCCAUCCCCAAUUGGUUGCAUCUCCCAAAACUUCAAAGAGGGCAUUGUUCAUUGAUCAAGCAGACAAACCAGACAGGUUAAGUUUUCCUCUCAGUUAUCAUCUUAUGUAUAAAUCUUCAUAAAUAUACUUGCUUAUUUUGGGUGUACAUAUGUGUUAUGUUGUUGAUAAAAAACCGUUAGCCAAUCUUUUUGCUUCAGUCUUUAACAUUUUUUUUGCAUACCUAUCACAAUUCUCUCUGACCUUAUAAAUUGUACCUUCAUUCACAGCAAAAAAACUCGCACCGGGCAAACAGAGACAACCAAUUCUGCUAGAAUUGCCAGAGAAUUCCACAAACUGGUUGUCCCUAAGAUUGAGCCUGCCGAUAAAGAACCGAUAGCUGCACUCAAAACAAAGUCUCAAACCAAAAAAACCAAGGAUAGGUAAAUUACAAUUUAUUUUUCACAUGCACACCUGCAUAACAUCUGUUAUAUCAAUGUUUACUAAACUAUGAUUCCUGUUUUUUCUUAUAGUACUGAAGAUGUUCGCCCACUGAAAAAAUGAAUGACUACAGUCUUCGUUAUGAAUUGCUACAAAGUUGCUCUACAGUUUUUUGCCUUUAAAACAUGUGCAGCUGAAAACUUAGUUGUGGAAACAACAACAUAACAUUUUUUUGGGUUUUUCGUAACUGCUUAAACAGGUGCCUAGGCUGCAGGGUAUGUAUUUUGUCACCUUAACUAUAGGGGCAAAAUAUGUGUGGACUGCAUCUUCCUUUUGUAACUAAUGGACAUAGGCAUGCUGCAUCUUUAUUCCUUUGAACAUUUGAGUUUCUUUUUUGUAACUACUUAAACAAGUGCCUAGAUUGCAGAGCAUGUAUUUUGUCACCAAAACUGUAGAGGCAAAAUAUGUGGACUGCAUCUUCCUUCUCUAACUUAUGGAAACAAGCACACUACAUCUUUGUUGCUUUGAACAUAUAUGCUUGAAAGAUAAGCUGCCAAAACAAAAACAACCUACUUUUUCACCUUUCACUCAUCUAUCCUUUUUAUUUGUUCAUGAUUUUGUUAAUUUUUUUUUCAAGUUGCAUGUGUCUAAUCCGUGUACUUAAGAUUCGAGCAUUCAACUCUCGCAGCAACGCGCAGGCAUUUUUACUAGUUUUAAACUAAAACAAAAAAAUGAAAUUGAACUAAACCAUAACUCAAUUGAAGCCUAUGUUUAACUAUUAUUGAAAUUAACAAAACCCUUCCUGAUUUUGAAACCUAAAGGACGAAGGUAGUAAUCGAAAUAUGUUAUUUGAAAUUAAACUAAAACCUGAAUCACAUUAAUACAAUCAUUCAUCAAACCCACUAAUACAAUCACACGAAAACCCCCAAUCAUUUAUCAAAAUUAUAUUCAACCAUUUUUAGCAUUUUCUCAAAAGAUCAAACCUUCAAUAUCAUAGCAACAAUUACCAAUUUUUUUUAUCAAAACCCAGAAAAGUCAGUUUAGAUUUUGUAUGAAAAAGUAAGGCAAUACAUAAAAAUUCAAACCAAGAAUAGAGCAAGAGACUUGCAACUCUAAACCAACGUCUAAACUAUAAAUUGCUUACCUUCAGUAGAGGUGGAAACCAAACAGAGAGGGAGUUUGGGUUUCAUGUUCUGACUUAUAGACAAAGUUUGAGUGAACUGGUGGUGGUGGUGGUUACAAUUUACAGAGAAGAGGGAUGACGUUGGGAGGCAAGGGAAGUAGCCAAUUUUUUCAAGGGAUUUGUCGCACAAGAGUAUCCCUACAUUUUAGUUCUGGAAAGUUUUAUGUAAGAAUACGGUUUUAAAGAUGACAAGCAAAACUCAAUCAUUUUUUAUCAAGCAGCAUGUUGCCUUGGAAGAGAUUCAUGGGUUGUUUGAGGUUGUUUUUUGAAGGCUAAAAGUAGUUUCAGACAUUCAAAUCCUAAUGUUGUAAUCAUUUCGUAUUUAAUUUUUACUUUUACUUUAUAUGCUUGAGAUAUGAUGACGAUUAUAUGGAAAACGAGAUGGACGAAGAAGAUUUAUGUGAGAUAAAAGAACUAAGGAAGAAGGAAUGAAAACAAAUUCAUAAAAGUGAAAACAAUUAAAAUAGUUUUGAUUUUUUGUUUUCAAUUUUGUCACUUUGCGUGUCUUUCCUUGUACAUUCAUCACAUGUCUCCCACCAUCCUUUAUUCACUCUUCUUCAUCCAUCAUUUUCCUUAUGUAUUUCCGUUCUAACACAAUCACAAGACAUAAAAAUAAAAAAUAAAAUGGUUAUAUCAAAUACUUGUUGGUCACAAAAACCCUUCACCAUAAAAUAUUUCUCCAUACGCACUAAAAAGUGUUUAUGCUGAAGCACUUUUCGAACUUUUUAAGUGAUUUUCUAUGAAACAUACUUUUAACAAAUUUUUAUGUGCUAAUAAUAGACGUACUUAUCAAAAAAUGCUGAUAACCAAAAGUGCUUCUUGCUAGUACUAUUAGAGCAACUCCAGCGGAUGCUGGUUGCUCGGGCGACAGGGGAGGAGAAAGGGCCUGAGGGCCGGUGGGAGCAGCUCCAGCGGGGAAGGGCCCGAGUGAGGGUGGGAGGCCGAGCGAAGGGGGGGUGGGAAGUCGACGGGCCUGUGGCCCGAGGGCUUUGUAAUUGUUUUUUUUUUUUUUGUGUCAGAGAGAGAGAGAGAGAGAGAGAGAGAGGGGGUUUUUUAUUAUUUAAACAAACAAAAAAAACUAUUAUUUUAAUUGCUUAUUGUCAGGGGGAGGGUUGCAAGGGUGGAGAUGUAAAUGGCAAUUACUGUUCAUUAAUGGUGGUUACUAUUCAUUUAAGGCAGUUACUGUUUAAUAGGGUGGAUUGAAUAGUGGAUUGCCAGGGGAAGGGCUCCAUGGGUGGAAUUGCUCUUAGCUGUCUCAGAAACCUUGAUAUCCAUCCAUCUUUGGUGUUACUUUAAAGUGUACCUCUUUAUACUUGUAAUAAGAACCUUAAAAUAUUUAUAAAGGGUUACGCUAAAGUUAUAAUUUGCUAUUAAUGGAUUGGCUAAUCGAAGAUCCAGUACAAUAUAUGAAAGAAAGCCCUUGCUGCUUGUUUCCCAAAAUCCCACAUGUUACAAAAACAAAACCAUCACGAUCGAAACAGCUAUAAAAAUAGAGGAAAAGUAAUGAAAAUGACUUUAAAACUUUAAGUUUUAACGAUAAUGACAAAAUAAAGGGUAAAAUGAAUAGUACCAGGAUCGACUUUUUAGUGUAAAAAUGUGGUUUUUUGUUAAAGUGAACUGUACCGUGGACUUUUCGUUAAAACUCCCUAAAAAUAGAGGGAAUGGAACAUUUGGGAUCCACACAGCCAUGUGGUGAGCACAAAGUGAACUAUCCACACAUCCACAUAGUUUGGAGGAGUUUCUCUUUACAGAGAAGCCUCUAAAUAUUAGUUUUCAAGAAUUUAAAAAUGGUCUUUACUUGCAACAAAUGAAGCACUGAGUCUGAGUUCAAUUCAGAUAAUUUGUAAAAUUCAAUACCAGCAUCUCAAAGUAGUAAUAUAAUGUCAUGACAAUACCGGUUUGGGAUACUCCCAUAACCUCGUGUAUGGAAGUCACCAUUUUAUAAGGAACCAAUUCAGGUGAAAUUUUACAAACAAAUGAUUUUGGUCUUCCUCAUCAAUGCCACAUAUAGGACAAAGCUUGUCAAUGUUGAGCAAAUUUACUUAAACGAACCCUAGUUUGCAAUUUUUCGUGAAUAAAGAGCCACACAAAAAUCUUUAGCUUUGGCGGAAUCAUCAAAUUCCAUAGUUUUUUUAGCAAAUUUUGUCUCUUCACUUCUCAAAGACAAUGUAACUUUUCCAAUGCCACCCCCAUUUCUCUAUCUCAGCAUUUGGAGGGGAGAGAAAUGUUGAGCAAAUUUUAUUUCUCCCCUGCAAAUGCUGAGAUAAAGAAAUAAGGGUGGCGUUGAAAAAGGUACGUUGUCUUUGGCGGAAUCAUCAAAUCCACUCAGCUUCGAAGCUUAAUACAAUUUACAAGUCCUUUUUCUAUUGUACCUUUUUAUGGGACAAGUUCCAUCAGAUACGUUUUAGGGGAAUUCUUUUAACCGAUAGUCCACCGACCCCAUCCAAAAGCAACAUAGGCAUGUAGGAACACCGUCUUGGAUCCUGGGUAGGGCAUGAUUGCAAUAUAGUACAAGUUGGGGGUGGAUUUAAUGACGUGUCCAUGUCCAGCUGCUUAGAUUAACUUGGAGGGCAUGGAACAUGAUGCCAGCUUAUUUAAAUGGAAUAGGAUUUUCAAAUCUUUUUACCCUUCUUCCUUCUUUUCUUUUCUAUUUGAACGGUUACAACUAAAUUACGUUAACAUCUUAUAUUAAUUUUUUAUAGAAAAAGAAAGGCAAAAUAGAUAAUGUGAGAGGAGGGGAUGAAAAGAAAUAGAAAGAUGAGGCUAGAGAAUUCUAAUCUUAUUUAAAUAUAAGGGGCUAACAAGACGUGUGAACGUUGUCUUCUUUUGUAUCAGAUUCACUUGGAGAUGGUGAUUGAUAACUGAGAAAUUUAUUUUCUUCUUACAUUUCUAUAAUGGACAAAACAUCGAUCCAUUGAAUCUUGAGGAUCAAAUGUACUUCAAAAUAUAGUGUUCUUGGUAUCUGUAUGUUGUGCCACGGUUUAUAAUCAACUCACUCAUUAUGUAAGUUUAAAAUUUUUCUUCAGUAGUCGGAGUAGUUAAGAAAAUACAACAACAACAACAACAACAACAACAAAGCCUUUUCCCACUAAGUGGGGUCGGCAAAACAAAUACUUAACGCCGUCCGUGAAAAUUGAUUUCGAGAUUAACCUUAAGAUAUUGAAAGGUAAAAAUUAUUUAAAAAGUUAGUUUCUUAGUAGGCUAGAUUACCAAAGAUAUACCCCGUAAAUUUUGCCUAAAUUUGCAUCAUGUUUUCCAUAUUCUUCUUGGUUAUAUGCGUUGAGAUUGAUAACGGUUGUUCUCAAGUUUAUAAUUUAGGUUUUGGUGGUUUUGGAGAAAUUUUUCCAAAUGCUAAACAUUCAAGUGGUACUCCACAUGUCAUUAUACAAAUAGAAGAAAUGAUAUAUUUUUCUAUGUUCCCUCUACUUGUAUAUUAUGACACGUAGAAUAUCCGCUUAAUAUCGGACACUUUAAAAAAUUUCUCGUGAUUUUGGGUUGCUUGGACUAGACUAGUAGUUAAGAUUAAUUUUGGUUUUACAGUCUAUUUAGCUAUUUCUCCUGCUUUUUUACCAUUUUUUUGGUCAAACUUUUAGAUACAAUCCUGUAACCCAUUAACAAAUCAACAUACAAUAUUUUCCUCAAUUUAAUUAUGUGUGCAAUUCCAUAGAUGUGAGGUCUUAUACAAAAGACCUCAAUUUAAUUAGUAGUAAAACCAUUUAUUAUAAUGGAAAUAUAAUUUUAUGAGGUUUUUUGUUACAUUCCACAUCAUCUAGGGAUGUGGAUCCUACAAGCCUUAUAUGUAUAUUCUCAUCUCUACCUAGCACGAGACUUUUUGAGAGCUCACUAGCUUCGGGUUCCAUCGGAACUCUGAAGUUAAGCGAGUUCACGCGAGAGCAUUCCUAGGAUGGGUGACCCAUUGGGAAGUUCUCGUGUGAGUUUCCAGAAACAAAACCGUGAGGACGUGGUCGGGGCCCAAAGCGGACAAUUUCGUACUACAAUAGAGUCAAGCCCGGGAUAUGGUAGGGGCCCGGACCGGGAUGUGACAUUUAUGAUGCGAGACAAGCUUCAACAAUUUUUUCCUUUUAAGCAUGUUUAUGUGAUGUUGGGUAUAUCUAUUGAAGUUAUUUCUUUGGAUAAAAAUAUUGUUUGGGUUUAUUGAUAAUGGAGUUAGCAUAAUACAUGUUAAAGAAGUUAACUAAAUCAUAAGUAAAAACAAGUGGUGUGUUUUAACUUCGUCUACCACUCAUUUUGUCACAUAACAAAGAACCUAAGUCCUUCUCAAGGUUUAUUCUUUCCAUAAAUGAGUAAUAAAGAAAAGAAGGAAAAAAGUGUUGUUCCCUAGUGGCAGUGGGCAAUGGGCAAUGGGCAAUAUUGGCCAAUGGCCAAGAGAGAAGGCAGAUAAAAAGGGGUUGGAAAGACCAAAAUAAUUGUUAUCUUUAAGGCUUUUUAGUCAAAAUGAUCUCAUAGAUUAACAUAGAUCCUCACUUUAAUCCUUAUAAUUUGAAAUCAAUAGAAGUGGUUCAUGAGUUUGUCCAUCAUCAAUCAUUUUGGUCAUUUUGUGAAAAAUUAUAUUAAAUAAUGACCAAUCACAAAAUACCCUAAAUUUAAUAAACAAUAGACCAAAAUAAUUUGACAAAAAUUGAAGGUAUUUUUGUCAUUUAACCUUAAUUAAUGGAUAUUUUUCACGGAAUGACCAAAAUGAUUAAUGGUGGAUAAACUCAAUGACCACUUCUAUCGAUUUCAAAUCUCAGUGACCAAAAUGAGGAAUUAUGUCAAUCUCGAAAACCAUGUAGAGUAAAAAGCGUACCUUUUAUGGUAAAAAAAUUCAAAAUGUAAGAUUAUGCAUGACAUGUAUUAUCAUAAAUGAAGAGCACGUUGCAUGGAAAGUGGGGCACAAACAGAGGUGUGAUUUAUUCAUUUUGGGUUGAGGGGGCACUGAGCUUUUUGGAUCAAGUAAUGCAGUUUGGGUUUGUAUCCUCCAAUAAUAUAUAUUAACUUUCACAUGACACUUUUGCACCAAUCUACAUGAUGCUGCUAGCCUUAGCCUGCCAUAAAUUGCACUAUAAGAUACCAAUAACACUUCUUGGAAUGAUGUUUUUGCCUUCAUUUCAAGCAAGCCUUUGCAUUACUUAGUACUAAUCGCAUUUGAGAGUGUCUAUCUCUUUUUCUUUACGAGCAAAUACUAGUAUGACAUGUAUAAAUAAAUUAGGCCUGCUCUGUGUGCGACCGCAUAGGGUCACGGUUUUUAGGGGCCCCUGAAUUUUAAUAACCUUUGUAAGGUACUACAUAUAGAAAAAGCGUGAACAUAAUUGACAAUGUUGUUUUAGCGGAGUUGUCAAGUGCUGAUACUUCCAAUUUAUUGUAUUCUUUUAACAGAGUUGUCAAGCGCUAGUACUUCCAUUUUUUUUUUUUUUCAUAUUAGCCAUGUGCGGGGUAACCAUUUUGAGCCUUUUUUGAGCUAUAUUAUUAUUUUUUAAAUAUUUGUAGCUUAAUUUCUUUCAUUAUAAAAGAUAACUUUUGGUAAUAAAUCUUUAAUUAGGAAUAUUCAUAAUAAAUUAAACUCCUUAAAACUCAGAAGAUAUAAUCUUUAAAAAGCUUCCUUAUAUGCCUCCGUUUAAUCGAAUACAUGUCAUUCGUUUAUUCUUUUGGUCAUUGUUUAAAGGUCAUCUAAUUUUCAUUCUCUUUAAAAAUCAUUUAGUCAUCCAAAAAUUAAAAAGGAAAUUUGUCACAUCCUGGCUCAGGCUCCCACGACAUCUCGGGCUCGACUCAUAUUGUCCGUUUUGGGCCCCGACCACACCCUCACAGUUUUGUUUAUGGGAACUCAUACGAUAACUUCCCAUUGGGUCACCCAUCAUGGGAUUGCUCUCGUGUGAACUCGCUUAACUUUGAAGUUCCGACGGAACCCAAACCCAGUGAGUUCCCAAAAGGCCUUGUGCUAGGUAGAUAUGAGAAUAUACAUAUAAGGCUUACAAGAUCAUCACUCCUGGGCGAUGUGGGAUCUUACAAAAUUAUUAUACAACUUUGCUCACACCACUAAAGUGCCUCUCAAUGAUUAUUGUUAUAUUAAUUUGCUAUAAUUGAUUUAAGGAACGAAUCUCGAAUUUUAAAUAAUCUAACGGCAAUCAACCGGGGUGGGGGUUAGAAUCUUCCUAACGAUUUAUUAUAAGAUGCUAUAAAUAUCAUUACCAAAGAUUUGUUUAACUAGUUGAUAAUAAAAAGCAUGAGUGUUUCUGAUUAUGAUAUUCAUACGGUAAUAUGAUAGAUACAUAGCCACCACACCAUGCUUCAUUUUUAUUUAUUUUCUUUUGCGUUUAUAUCUAUUUAUACAUAAGAAAACAUAGCAACCAAAAUUUAGACCAUGUAAAGGCCUUCAUUUGAGUCUUGCACAGAGCCUUCAAAAUCUUAGAACUGGCCUUGACAUAAACAACUCGUUAUAAACAUGAAAGAAAAAGAUUAUGCACGUGUAUGGAAUUGUAACUUGUGUCUUAAAAGAAAUGUGUUCUUUUAAGUAAGAGCAAAGUAUUGUUCAUACAAUAUAACACAAAAAUGAAAAUGAUAACCCCUGAUAAAGCUGAAAUAUGUACAUAUAUAUAUUGAGAUGCAGUUGUUUGUGCCUAUUUCACUUCUGACGUGAUGCAGGAAAGUCCCUCUCGCACGAUCACGAUAGAGAGGCUUCUUUGCCAGAUCAAUAUGGCAUUGCAUAACAUAGUGUUGAACAAUCACGCAUGACGAUCACAAUGUGGUUAUCAUGGAAUUGUAAGCUCACCUACCACAUGACACAUAAUGGAAAAUUUAAAGAAAUAUGUAAAGACUAGUUUGAAAUACAAAUUACAAUCAUUAUGUAUUUAUUUGGCGCAGCAUAAUUAUGAAUUCAUAAAAAAUACUUAAAGUGUUGGACACUUGUAAUCGCAUUAUAGGAAAGUAUUUUAAUUUAGAGAAUUUUAAUGAAAAACUUCUGGUAUUGUUUAUUUUAACAAAAAAUCACAUUAUUACACUAAAAAGACAAUCAUGGUACUAUUUACUUUACCCUUUAUUUUGAUCUUAUCGUUAAAACUCAAAGUUUUCAAGACAUUUUCAUUAGUUUUCCUUUUAAUUUAAUUGUAUAUCAAGCCAAUCCAUGUUGCCUAUAUGAAUUUCAUUUUUAGUUUUUUAUAUUUACUUAUUCUUGUAUGUUAAUGGAAAUAGAUUGGGACUUUUUCUUUCUUUUUUUUGUUGACUUUUUGACUUUUUUUUUUUUGGUUAAUGACCUGAUCAAAGAUAUCUAGAAGCUAAAACAAUGUGACCACUCACCACAUUGGCACAUUUUCAUCACCAAUUGCUUUCACUCUUAGGACAAAUUUUGGUGUGUGAUGUAAAUAUCGCAUGACAUGUCCAUUGGGUUGCAAGUUUACUUAAAUUAUAAUACAUGAAAUAAAUUUUAAAAAUUGUUAUUAACAUUGUAAAAUUUUAAUUGUGUACUCUAAACUUUUUAUAUCUUGAAAGAAAAUACUUUUAUGGGAAGUGCACAAUUAGAGCAUCUCCAAAGGAGAUGUCAAAAAUCCUACGUGAAUUUUUUUUGACAAAAAAAAGCUGGUUUCUGGUUCCAAUUAGAUGCCAAAAUUUUAACAUGGAUUAACAUUCUCCAAUUUAAAGGCAACAUAAAAAAAAUGUUUUAUUUUAAUGUUGAACCCACAUAUUUCUUUAUUUUCUUCUCUUAUUAAUAUUUUAUUAUUAAAUUCUGACCCACUUGAUUUUAUAAAUAACCAAAAAGCAUUUUAAUUUAAAAUCUUAGUUGAAAAUGAGACUUUACAAAUGAGGAGAUGUUCCUAAAUUUUGGAGUGCUCUCAUAUGAGAAGUGCACAAUUAGAUUUUUAGAACACAAAUAAUAGUUGUCUAAAAUUUAGACCCACAAUUAUGUACUCAAGAUUUAAUAAUUAACUAACAUCUACACACAUUAUGUGUAUGAACUCUUUUUAUUUUUGUUUUUAAAAUGAAAAUGAGAAAGUGUCACAUCCCGGUCUCGCCUUCGCCGUAGCACGAUAUUGUCCGCUUUAGGCCCUAACCACGCCCUCAUGGUUUUGUUUAUGGGAACUCACGCGAGCAGAACUUCCCAGUGACUGGGAAUGCUUUGGCCCCCUUUCUUCCUUAACUUCAGAGUUCCUACGAAAUCCGAAACCAGUGAGCUCCCAAAAUGCCUCAUGCUAUAUGGAGGUGGGCAUGUACAUAUAAGGCACAUCACCCCCUCUCCGUUGGUCGAUGUGGAAUGUUACAAUCCUCCCCCUUAAGGGCCCGACGUUCUCGUCGGCACACUCGCACCACACGAUAGACUAGCUUUGAUACCAAAUUGUCACAUCGCGGCCUCGCCUCUGCCAUAGCACGAUAUUGUCCGCUUUAGACCCCAACCACGCCCUCAUGGUUCUAUUUCUGGGAACUCACACUGUCAUAGCCCGUCCCAAAAUAAAUUAUCAAUGGCGUGGAAGUUACUAAAUUACCUUUGGACGUUGAGAUAUAAUUGAGUUAUGUGGUGGUGUGGUUUAAGUUUAAAUUUAUUUGGACAAAUUCUAAAUUUUUAGGACUCAAAGUGUUUUCUUUGGUUUUGGUUGAUGACCCACGUGAACCACACAGACACACACACAAACUCUCCCUCUCUCCAAUGCCUUCUCUCUCUCCUCACUCUCGGAUUUUUCAGAAAAUCAGCACAAAACGUACGGACGAACUUCAAAACCAACCAUACACGCACAGAUCGAGGAUUCAAAGGGCACCAUUGUGUUCUUGAGGUUCAUACGAGUUGAAUGGUACCAUUUUUAGGAAAGAACUUCUUAGAAAACUCGUGAAAACCCUAACCCGAUUUUUUGUCACUAUUCAUGCAAUCAUAAAAUCGUGUGUUUUUUGAGAUUUCAAACUCACAGGAAGCUUUAGAAGGUUCUCACAAAGCUCGGAGUGGUCUUUUUGGAAGAAAUUGGACGUCAAAUCAUCGAGAACGACCGGUUUUAAGAUUUGUCGAAAUAUCGAGGCUUUUUCCAGUGGGUUUCUAGUGGUUUCAGGGCUCGACUUAGCUAUGGUUUUGUUCGUCUUGGUGAGAUCUUCAAAAUGGUUCAAGUUUAUUGAAGUUUGGUGUUAAAAUGAGAGAGAAAUUAGGGUUAGAAACUUUUUCCAGAAACCGGCGAAUAGUCGCCGGCCUCCGGUGACUCGUCGGGAAGAAGAAGCAUAUUCCGUCAGUUUUAACGGAAUAUGCUAACGGUUAGACGGAAUACCCUAGAUUUUAACGGAAUAUUCCUAACGGCAUUAACUGCCGCCGUCAGUGCGCGUUUGGCCGUGCCUUGGUCGGCGCAUGAAGGGUCGGAAAUUUUUUCUAAAAAUAUGGGGAUGUUCGUGAGAUUGUGUAGAUCACGUUGGUAUAUUCAAACAUCCCAUUUGAGCAAUGUAUGAGAAGUUAUUAGCUAGUAUUGGUUAUAUGCUUUAAAUUAACGUUUUUAUAAGUGUUUCGUAUAUGACUUAUUCCGAGGACAAGCGCAAUCAAGGGCGACUCGGGGGCUACGACCCUUUGACAUACCAGUGAGUGGGCUUUUGGUUUUUAGUAUAUACUUAUAUACUUGAUAUUUUCCCAAAAAAUGCGUUUAAAUGAAGUAUGCCUUGAAAUGCCAUGCAUAUAAGUUUAUGUUCAGUAUAUGAAUUAGUAUAUGAUGCAUUAUAUAUAAUUGUGGUGUUGUGGAUGCUCAGGUAAGCCCAUGUGAGUUUAUGAAUUGUGAAUGUGAGUAACGGUUGUGAUUAAGUAGGGGAGGCUAUAGCUAAUGCCAUUCAAUCUUCGCUCCGUCCUCCUCAAAUGACACCUCUUGAGACUGUGUAUAAUUUGAAACUGAAUCAUUUCAUGGGAAAUGAAGGACAUGAGGGAGCAAAGAAGUGGCUUAAUCAUGUUGAGAAGAUUUUCCUUAUGGUGUAGAGUCAGGGGAAUCUUCCUCCUGAUAGGUGGGUCGAGACGACUACCUGGUUUCUAGGUCCAGAGCCUACAUCCUGGUGGAGACAGGAGUCCUAUCAAAUGCCACCAGAGGUAGCAGCCGAUUAGGAAGUGUUUAAACAGUUGUUUUGGAAAAGGUUUAUUCCUCUUGAGUACAUUGAUUGCAAAAAAACAAGAGUUUACACAUCUGAAACAAGGAAAGAUGUCAGCGAAUGAGUCUUAAAGGAGGUUCACCGAUUUGUCUCGAUAUGAUCUGGAGGUUGCUGCUAAUCUGGUUUAGAUGCUCCAUCGCUUCAGGUUAGGUACUAAGAAGAAAUGGCGUUCUAUAGUGACAUUGACUCUCUGUGCCACUUACCAGGAGUUUUAUGAGGUUUUAUUGCGAAUUGAGGACUCAAAGAACAUGCCCAGUGAAAGUGAAGAUGAAGAAAAAAAGAACGGGAACCAGAGGCGAGAUGAUAAAGGUAAAGGUCAAUCAUCUUAAGAACCUCGUAAGACCUAGAGCUUUAAGAGAAGUGGUGUCAGUUCCAGCUCUUCUAAUGAAGGCUUGAGCUCUAAUAUGUAAAGGAGAGGUGGUAGAUUUUCUGGAGGCCCAAGAUUUCAGAGGCAGAGGGACUUUGGUGGUUUAGGUGGUUCAAGUGCUCCUUUAUGCCACAUGUGUAAUAAUAGGCAUUUUGGGGAGUGUAGGAGAGGCAGCAAUGCAUGCUAUACUUGUGGACAGAUGAAGCAUAGGGUUGCACAUUGCCCUUAAAUUCAGUAGAGGCCCCAACAGCCUUCCUUACCACCAUCUGCGCCGAACCAGCAAGCUUCAAGACCUAGUGGUUAUGCUCAGACUGGUCGUGGAGGUGCUUACCAUUAUCAGGACGACACCGUUCCUUAAGCUACAUAACAAUAUCAGUACUCGCAGGACCCUAAUUAUCAGGGUGGUUACCCUCAGUAUCAGGGAGGUUCUAUGCCAUAUCAGCCACAUUCAGCAGGUGGAUCCCAAUGGUACCAGGGGGGACAGCCCCAGCAGGUAGAGAUUGCUGCUAACAGUGCAAGAUCUUCGAGGCAGUCUGGUUAGCUAAGACAAGGACGAGGUAUUCAUGCUAGCAGAGGUCGUGGUGGACGACAGUAGAAUCAGGGACGUAUCCAUAACAUGACACUGCAAAAUGCUCAAAACAAUCCUGAUUUAAUCAUGGGUACGUUAAAUAUUCUUGGUCAUUUUGCUAGAGUAUUGAUUGAUUAUGGUGCUACGCAUUAUGUUGUUUCUCAUACAUUUGUUCAAGUGACGCAACCUCAUCCUACACCCCUAGGAUAUGAUUUAGAGUUUUCUAUGCCUAGAGGGGAAGGAUGUUAUGUGGAUCGGGUAUAUCCAAGAUGUCCAGUGAUGAUGGAGGAUAUUGUUAUGCCAGCUAAUCUUAUUCUGUUAGACAUUGUUAAUUUUGAUGUGAUUUUGGGCACUGAUUGGUUACAUUAUAAUCGUGCCAAAAUAAAUUGUUAUGGAAAGACAGUCACAUUUCAUCGUCCUGGAUUACCUGAAGUUACAUUUGUAGGAGAACCAAGCGGGGAGAAGAAUGGUGUUAUUUCUGCCAUGAAAGCCAAAAGAUUGUUGUCGAAAGGUUGUCAGGGAUAUUUGGCUCUUGUGGUGUUGAAUGAUAAUGCUCCUAGUAGUGUGGAAGAUGUGCGUGUGGUCAGGCAUUUUUCGGAUGUGUUCCCUAACGAUUUACCUGGAUUGCCGCCAGACAGAGAUGUGGAGGUCGUUAUUGAUCUACUUCCUAGUACGAAUCAUAUAUCUUUGACUCCUUAUAGAAUGACUCCUGAUAAAUUAAGGGAAUUGAAAGUUAAGUUUCAAGAAUUAGUGGAUAAAGGUUUUAUUCAGCCUAGUACUUCACCCUGGGGAGCUCCAGUCUUAUUUGUGAGGAAGAAAGACGAAACCUUGAGGUUGUGCAUUGAUUACAGGCAAUUGAAUCGGGUAACAAUUAAGAACCGUUAUCCGUUACCUCAUAUAAAUGAUUUGUUUGAUUAACUCCGAGGUGCCUGUGUGUUCUCUAAGAUUGACUUGAGGUCUGGUUACUACCAGUUGAAUAUUAGAAGUGAAGAUUCCCUAAAACAGCUUUCAGGACUCGAUAUGGUCAUUAUGAGUUUCUUGUGAUGCCAUUUGGGUUAACUAAUGCACCAGCAGCUUUCAUGGAUUUAAUGAAUCGAGUAUUCCAGCUGUAUUUGGACAGGUUUGUCAUUGUCUUCAUUGAUGAUAUUCUUGUAUACUCUAAGUCUAGGGCUGAGCAUGCUAGACAUCUUAAAUUGGUGUUGAAAAGUUUGAGGGAACACCAGUUAUAUGCUAAGUUUAGCAAAUGCCAAUUCUGGUUUGAUCAAGUGACAUUUUUGGGACAUAUUAUAUCAACUCAAGGUAUCCGAGUGGAUUCUAAAAAAGUGGCAGCUGUGGAGAAUUGGGAGCAACCUCGAACCGUCACUGAGAUGCAGAGUUUUCUUAGCCUUGUAGGCUAUUAUAGACGAUUUGUUAAAGAUUUUUCAGUGAUUGCUUUACCAUUGAUGAGAUUGACCAGGAAGGAUGUUAAGUUUGAGUGGCAUGAUAAUUGUGAGUAAAGUUUUCAACAGUUGAAGUAUUAUCUCACUCAUGCACCUGUUUUAGCACUCCCUGAUGAUAUUGGUAAUUUCGAGGUCUACAGUGAUGCUUCUUUGAAUGGUCUGGGUUAUGUAUUGAUGCAACAUGGUAGGGUGAUUGCUUAUGCUUCGAGACAGUUGAAACCUCAUGAGAAGAAUUACCCUACUCAUGAUCUGAAGUUACCGGCUAUCAUCUUUACUUUGAAGAUUUGGAGACAUUAUUUUUAUGGUGAGAAAUGUAAGAUCUUCACAGAUCAUAAGAGUCUUCAGUAUCAUUUCACUCAGAGAGAUCUUAAUCUUCGACAACAGAGAUAGAUUAAGUUGCUUAGUGAUUAUGAUUGCAAGAUUGAGUAUCACCCUGGUCAUGCAAAUGCAGUGGCGAAUGCACUUAGUAGGAAAACUCCAGUUAAACUUAAUGUCAUAUAUGAUUGUCAUGUUCCUCUUCUUGCAAAUUUGAGGUCCACUGGAGUGGAGUUAGGAGUGGAAGAUAGAGAGGAAUCCUUACUUGCUAAUUUUCAAGUUAGGCCAAUCUUAAUUGAUCAUGUGCUUGAGGCCCAGAUGAAUGAUGAAGAGACUUAGGAAAUAAUUCAAGCAAGGAAUCAGGGGAAGAAGAAAGAUUUCAGAAUUAGAAAACUGAUGGUGUGCUUAUGCAGGAAAGCAGAAUGUAUGUGCUGAAUAAUGUAGAGCUAAAGAAAGAAAUCCUUGAUGAAGCGCAUAUUUCGGCAUAUGCAAUGCAUCCAGGAGGUAACAAGAUGUAUCAUACCAUUCACCCAUUUUAUUAUUGGCCUGGUAUGAAAAAGGAAAUUGUCGAAUAUGUGAGUAAGUAUGCCAUUUGCCAACAUGUUAAAGCUGAAAGGAAGAAACCGUUUGGGUUGAUGCAGCCACUUCCCAUUCCACAGUGGAAAUGGGAAAAUAUUACCAUGGAUUUUGUGUACAAGCUUCCUCAUACACAGAAUGGUUAUGAAGGCAUUUGGGUGAUAGUUGAUCGGCUUACUAAGUCAGCACACUUUAUUCCAGUGAGGGAAAAAUACCCAUUAAGCCUAUUAGCUAAGUUAUUCAUAUCGAAGAUUGUGAAGUACCAUCGUGUUCUAAUUGAUAUUGUCUUGGAUCAGGAUCCUCGAUUUACUUCUAAGUUCUAGAUAGCAUUCCAGGAAGCUCUUGGUACAAGAUUACUUUAUAGUACGGCAUAUCAUCCUUAGAUUGACGGACAAUCUGAGAGGACUAUUCAGACAUUAGAAGAUAUGUUGAGAUCUUCAGUGCUACAGUUUGGCGAUGGUUGGCAUGAUUGUUUAGAUUUGAUGGAGUUCAUUUACAACAACAGUUACCAUUCAAGUAUUGGUAUGUCACCAUUUGAGGCACUUUACGGGAAAUUUUGUCGUACACCUUUAUGCUGGUCAGAGGUUGGUGAAAAAGUUUUAGUGGGCCCUGAGAUUGUGGACGAGACUACUCAAAAUGUUCAGGUAAUUAAGUUUAACCUGAAAGUGACCCAAGAUUAACAUAAGAGUUUAGCAAACAAACAUGCCACUGAUCGGGUGUAUAAAGUAGGUGAUUGGGUGUUUUUGAAGUUAUCACCAUGGAGAGGUGUUGUGCAGUAUAGAAAGAAAUGCAAGUUAAGUCUUAGAUACAUCGAGCCAUAUUUGAUCAUUGAAAGAGUUGGUGAAGUUGCUUAUAGGCUUGAGUUGCCUUCAGAAUUGUCUAAAGUGCAUAAUGUAUUCCAUGUUUCAAUGCUCCGACAUUAUAUCUUAGAUCCUUCACAUGUGAUUCCUCCUCAACCUUUGGAAAUUAAUUCGGAUUUGACUUAUGAUGAGGAACCAAUGACUAUUUUGGAUUGGAAAGAUAAGGUUCUGAGGAAUAAGACAAUGCGUUUGGUGAAAAGUCUUAUGGGGAAAUCAUUCAGUGGAAGAAGCUACUUGGGAGACAGAGGACCGGAUGAGAGAGAUGUAUCCACGCCUAUUUUAUGAUUAUUAGUGGAUUGUAAAGAUGGUAUAAAUUUCGAGGACGAAAUUUUUAUAAGGAAGGUAGAUUGUCAUAGCCCGUCCUGAAAUAAAUUAUCGAUGGCAUGGAAGUUACUAAAUUACCUUUGAACGUUGAGAUAUAAUUGAGUUAUGUGGUGGUGUGGUUUAAGUUUAAAUUUAUUUGGACAAAUUCUAAAUUUUUCCUAAGUUUGGGAACACUUAGGACUCAAAGUGUUUUCUUUGGUUUUGGUUAGUGACCCACGUGGACCACACACACACACACACACAAACUUUCCCUCUCUCAUGUGCCAUUUCUCUCUUCUCCCUCUCAGAUUUUGCAGAAAAUAUGCACAAAACGUACGGACGAACUUUAAAACCAACCAUACACGCACAGAUCGAUGGUUCAAAGGGCGCCAUUGUGUUCCUGAGGUUCAUACGAGUUGAAUGAUACCAUUUUUAGGUAAGAACUUAUUCGAAAACUCGUGAAAACCUUAACCUAAUUUUUUGUCACUAUUCAUGCAAUCAUAAAAUCGUGUGUUUUUUUGGAAUUUCAAGCUCACAUGAAGCUUUAGGAGGUUCUCACGAAGCUUGGAGUGGUUUGUUAGAAGAAAUUAGAUGUCAAAUCAUCGAGAACGACGGGUUUUAAGAUUUACCGGAAUAUCAAGGCUUUUUCCGGCAGGUUUCUGGUGGUUUCAGAACUCGACUCAAGUAUGGUUUUGUUGGUCUUGGUGAGAUUUUCAAAAUGGUUCAAGUUUCUUGAAGUUUGGUGUUAAAAUGAGAGAGAAAUUAGGGUUAGAAACUUUUUCCAGAAAUCGGUGAACAGUUGCCGGCGUCAGGUGACUCGUCGAUGAAGAAGAAACAUAUUCUGUCAGUUUUGACGGAAUAUGCUAACGGCGUAAGGUAACGCCGUUAGUUUUUAGACGGAAUAUUCCUGACGGCGUUAACUGCCGCUGUCAGUGUGCCAGCCACGUGCCUGCACAUGGGCGGUGCGUUUGGCCAUGACUUGGCCGGCGCAUGAGGGGUCGGAAAUUUUUUCUAAAAAUAUGAGGAUGUUCGUGAGGUUGUGUAGAUCACAUUUCUAUAUUCAAACAUCUCAUUUGAGCAAUGUAUGAGAAGUUAUUAGCUAGUAUUGGUUAUGUUCUUUAAAUUAACGUUUUUAUAUUUGUUUCGCACAUAUAGGAGACUUAUUCCGAGGACGAACGCAGUCAAGGGAGACUCGGGGGCUACGACCCUUUGGCAUACCAGUGAGUGGGCUUUUGGUUUUUAGUAUAUACUUAUAUACUUGAUAUUUUUCCAGAAAAUGCGUUUAAAUGAAAGUAUGCCUUGAAAUGCCAUGCAUAUAAAUUUAUGUUCAGUAUAUGAAUUAGUAUAUGAUGCAUUAUAUAUAAUUGUGGUGUUGUGGACACUCAGGUAAGCCCAAGUGAAUUUAUCAAUUGUGAAUGUGAAUAACGGUUGUGAUUAAUUGAGAAACAUUGAGCUCAUAAACCUGCACCCUGGUAUUAAUGAUUUAGACAGAGAUAUGGCCCAGGUCUGUUUAUAAUGUCACAUCUUGCACCCUAUGCUCACAUUGGAUCCAAUUUAGGUCCACAGUCUUGUCGUAUAGACCACUAUAGGUGGUUCCAACUCGUAGGUGACUAGCGAUUUAUCGCAUAGCUAUCAUGAGUGCGUAGCAUUGAGCAUAACUAUAUUACACCCAGUCUUGUCAUAUAGACCUUUUCUAUGGUUCCGACUCGUUUGCAAAGUAGUGUCGUAUAGGUCACUUACAGUGACUCCGACUAGAUUGAUUAAUGAGUUAUGAAUUCAGUCGUACAGACUUCUGUAGGGGUUCAGGCUAAUAUGUUAUUUUCCAUGAGUUACUUAUUCUAUUUUAUGUUUUGGCAUGGCAUACUUUAUGAAUAUGGUUAUGUGAAGCAUGAAUUGUUAAAUAUAUAUAUAUAUAUAUAUAUAUGUAUAUAUGUAUAUAUAUAUAUAUGUAUAUAUUUAUAUUCUAUUUCUGAGAAAAUUAUACAUGUUUUACAACGAGGGGUUAGAGCAUUUGAUAAUGAAAUGAUUUUUGAAAAGCUUUGUUUUUGCGCAUUCACGUUUUCUGUUUUGCACCCUUCCAGGUUUUAGGUAGACUUGUUGUUGGUGGCUUUGAGGAUCUCGGCGGUUCUGACAGAAUAAAAUAUUCGUAGGAUAUCUUCUGGUACUGUAUAACUAGUACUUCACCUACUGGACUGCACCUAGACUUUCUAUGCUCUGAUUAUGAGUAUUUACUCGUGUAUCUCGUUCCUAGCACUUUCUACUUAUUAGUGCACAUUAGUAGCUUUCAGUUUUUUUUUAUUUAUUCGUAAAUUUCUUAUCCUUAUCGCUUCCGCAUUGUGCACAUGACUACGUCACCCUCACGUGACGGCCAGCACGCCUCGAUCUUGGUCGGUGUGUGUCACACGCGAGCAGAACUUCCCAGUGGGUCACCCAUUCUGGGAAUACUCUAGCCUCAUUUCUCGCUUAACUUCGGAGUUCCUACGGAACCCAAAACCAGUGAGCUCCCAAAGGGCCUUGUGCUAUAUGGAGGUGGGCAUGUACAUAUAAAGCAGAUCAACCCCUCUCUGUUGGUCGAUGUGGGAUGUUACAGAGAGGAUGAGAGAGAACGCAUGUUGGAGUGGGAGUGGGAGGUUUUUGUUUUGUUUUGUUUUUUUAAUAUUAGAUAUAUGUUAACAUCACUUGUAAGUGGGAUUUUAAUAAAAAAAACAGUAAAAUUUGAAUCUGUAAAAUUACAUUAUUACUAGCUCAUUAUGAGGCUAAGCUCAUCUCAUCUCCCUUAGUGUAAAUAAUAUCGUUUGUUCAAAAAAUAAUAAAAAAAGUAGUUUAGAUAAUUGAAUAACAAAUAUAGUUGGGGUGAACCUUUUGAAGAUUACUUGGUUAGGGUCAAUGUGAAGAAAUUGAAAUUGUCUACCUAAGGUGGAGAAACUAGAGUGAGAAACCCAUGAUCCUACAUGGUCAUUAAUUAAGGAGCUUGCCCGCAUAAUUUAAUUAUUGAUGUGAUUAAUUGGUAUAUGUAAUUAUUAUAAUGUGUCCUAAUCAUCACCAUUAUUAUAUUAUAACUCUCUCUUUAUGAAAAAAUUGCAAUCCCCUAUCCCAACAUUUUUCUCGUAUUUUAAGUUUUUAACUAGAAAUAUAGUUUCGUACAUUUUUUUUCUUCAUCAUACUCUUGUUUAAUGUUGUCUUUAAAUUUUUUUUCAUACAAGCGACAAUGUGAGAUGUCAAUUGCAAUAAUAAACUUUCUUUCAAGUUUAUUCAAUUCAAAUACAAAAAAUAAAUAUAGGUGUUAAUAGAAAAAGUAUACAUAAAUCACUUCUCUUAAAAAUUAUUUUUAUUUAUUUAUUUAUUUAUUUUGUAUAGAAUGCUCCCGAACGUGCUUAUGUCAAAAAGAAAAACUAAAACUAAAACUAAAAACUAGUUACUUUUUCUUUUAAUUUCUUUUUAGUUUUUUUUUUUUAAAGAGGAAUAACUGGUGGCAAGUCACACUUAUCCACCUCUUUCGGACCCAGAGAUACUAUACGGAAUUUCACCCUGCCUAUGGCAACAGUAAAAAAAAAAACUCACUAACUUGAAGUAUCGAACAUGAGACAUCUCACAACUUUUGUUUAUUGGGGAGCCACAAUUUGGAUCCUUACCAAUGAGCAAUUUGCUGUAAUUUUUUAAUUUCUUUUUAGUUUGGGAGCUAAAUUAAUUUCUUUUUACUCAAUGAGUCAAACUUUCCAACAAACAAACCACAUCCCCACACUCCUCAAAGCCAUAAACGUUUAUAUUAUAACUCCAACCCAAAUAUAGAUACAACUCCCCCACAAAAUAUCCCAAAAUAAAUAUCCCAAAAUAAAUCCCAAAUAUUUAGAGGGUUCCCAACCAAUGAAAUGUUAAAAUUUCCACCCUGAAAUUUGGAAUUCUCGUUUCCCCAUUAAACAAAUCUUUUAAUUUUUGACAGAAAAAAAAAAACAAAAACACAAAAAACAAAAACAGAAACAAAAACCAAAAUCUUUGAAUUUUCUUUCUUUUGAUCAACCAAAACUGUCAACCGAAAAAUGAGACCAAAACCAGCUAUCUUUGCAGAAAACCACCAUCAGAUUAACUGAUUUUAAUUAAGUUUAAACAGUUUCUUUGUCUUGUUUGAUCUUCAUUAAAUAUUGCAGUUCUUUGUCCUCUGAUCUCCAUCAAUCUCUCUCUCCUCUUCUUCCUCUCUUUCUCUCUCUAAACAGUGAUUAAUCACAGAUCAUUAACCCAAAUCAAAAGCUUUCAACUUUGCUUUUACUCUUUCUGCAUAAAAGAAGAGAAACUGCUGCCACCAACAACCCAUCUCUCCAAGAAACCAGAAGAUUCCCCCAUCACCUAACCAGAACAUGGAUAGGAGCUAAAAGGAGCUCACUUUUUCUUAUCUGCAACCACCGCUACCCCCGCCGCCGCCGCCACCGCCUUUUUCUGAGGAAAUCUCGAGGAACCCAGUUCGUCAAACCCUAAACCGGACCCAAAUCCCAAGCUUUCCGGCCGAAAUUCAGCAACCGGAGACCUGGGUUUUGCUCACAUUCGCCAUUGAAGAUGACCCAGCUCAAGCAAAUGUCCCACCUCGACAUCAGUCCGCCAACGCCCGGCAAGUUCAAGAUGGACAAGUCGCCCUAUAUUCACCGCCUCCGCGGGCACGGCUCUCUCGCCAAGCUCACAUUCUGGUCCUUCGUUUUCCUCGGCUUGAUCUUGAUCUUCUUCUUCCACUCCCCGUCCCCCAAUUCUCUGCCGUCCGAUCCCUCCCGCCGCUCUCUCAGAACCUACAAUUGGGGCGGAUCCGCCUGGGAAAAACGGGUCAGGUCAUCCGCCAAAGUCCGGUCUCGCCACGGAAUCUCCGUCCUCGUCACCGGUGCUGCCGGCUUCGUCGGGACCCACGUGUCAGCGGCGCUUAAACGUCGCGGAGAUGGGGUCCUUGGUCUGGACUGCUUUAAUGACUACUACGACCCUUCGUUGAAGAGGGCUCGGCAGGCGCUUUUGGAGCGGAGUGGGGUGUUCAUUGUGGAAGGCGACAUAAACGACGCCCCUUUGCUGAGCAAGCUCUUCGAGGUGGUGGCGUUCACCCAUGUGAUGCAUUUGGCUGCCCAAGCUGGUGUGAGGUAUGCCAUGGAAAACCCAGGUUCAUAUGUUCAUAGUAAUAUAGCUGGUCUUGUUAAUCUUCUUGAAGUUUGUAAAAAUGCAAAUCCACAACCUGCAAUUGUUUGGGCAAGUUCUAGUUCUGUUUAUGGAUUAAAUACUAAGGUACCCUUUUCGGAAAGAGACCGGACUGACCAGCCGGCUAGUCUCUAUGCCGCCACCAAGAAAGCCGGUGAGGAAAUUGCACACACU